rnacentral:lncRNA from 1 species
AGAUUGUCUAAUUCAGGGGGAGUUUGAAAUUGUUUGAAAAAAAAAAGGAGAAAGAGAAACUCCUAUAUGUAAAAGAUGUGGAAAGAGUUACAUCCUAAAAGGAGUGUGAAAACUACCACCACAUGUAGGAAAGAGCUACCAUCCCGGUCGUCCGGCAAAUGUGUGAAGCUACCACAUGAAGAUUGAAUUGAGUAACCGAAAAAGGUUGAAAAAAAUUGAAUAUUUUAGAAUUUUCGGAGUUAUAAGGUGGUAAGUUGAAAAGAUGCUCAAAGAGCCACCCCUGGUAUCAUAUUAGUUAAAUCUCUAUUUUGAACAUGUUGCGACAAAUUGGUGUUAAUUUUUGUUGAAUUUCUAAAAAUCAUUUUUCAUCAACUUACAUCUUGAUGGUUUUGAAUCAUUAAAUUAUUUUUGAUAAUGAAAUUUUGAUGUUUUGAUGUAUUUUGAAAUUCUAUAAUAUCUUAUUGUCAUUAUAAUGAUUCUUGGAGUAAAAGCCUUAAUUUAUUUGAAAUUAAUUUAAUUUGAUGAAUUUUUAAAGCAAAUUUUUCGAAAUCUGAGAUCGUUCAUCGAGCUUAGUCUCUCUCUUUCUCUACAUUUGCAUUUUAGGAUGAUGUUUUAGUUUCAGUUCUGCUUGUUUUUUUUUGGCCUGUAACUAUGACUUGACUACGCUUACAUUUUUCUAGUAUGUUUUCUCUCUCUAUUUUAUUUCUUUUGGCAAUUUUUGACAAAAAGAGGGAGAGCGUAGAUGAAGGGGGAGAGCAUGGAUGAACAGGCAAUGAACUAAGCAGAGGAUGAUGAGUUCAAGAACAAAGGGGGAGAUGUGAUCGAGAUGUGAAGAACAAAGGGGGAGAAGGUAUAAGAAUUUAAGAUUAAUCAUUUUUGAAUGAAUUGUUUUGCAGGAUUUCAAGACUUCAAGACUCCUAGUUGCGUCUAAGUCAUAGAGUCUGUUUUAGGAGUUUUUGUUAUAAUUUUGAGUUUCAAAUUGUAUUUGGAUUACACGCGAGGAGUUCAAUGUUUUGGUGAUGACAAUUGAACUUCGUUUUUCUUUACGAUGUAAUUUUGGAGUUUGUGUGAGUUUUGUCACGAAAUUGCCAAAGGGGGAGAUUGUUAAGUCUUGUGUGUUGGCAAGUUUCGUGAAGUGAGUCGGAGUCUUGAAGAAUCGGUGUGUGUCGUCGACGAUUGAAGAAUUCAAGAUUUCGAAGAAGUUGGAAAAUAACUCACGAUAUGAAUCACGACGUAAAGGUAAAGUUUUAAUUCAUGUUAUGGUGAUUCAUGCUUAAUUAUAGGCAUUAGAAUCAUAUAAUCAAAGUUUAGUUGAUUAGAAAAUGCUUCGGAACUUUGCGGAACCCGAAACGGUGCAAAAUCUGAAAAAUUGCAUUGUGUACCGGUACAGCCAUUAUCCCGUACCGGUACAGCCAUCAACUUUGGCUUCGAAAAUUUGUUCCGUCAUUGUGUAACCGGUGACAGCAUUUCGCGUACCCGUACACAGUGUAAAAUCGUGAAAACUUUCUAAUCCGACUCCGAUUGAUUCUAAAGUCUAUAAAUAAGCUAUUGGGCUUCUCUAACACAUCAAGCAUGAUAAGAAUACAUGUUUGAGAAACCCUAGAGGCUCGGAUUUCAUUCUAAACCUAUUUUCUACAAAUUAGCCUCUUUAGAUCAAAUCGAGAUAUCGUUUCGCAUUCUCUAUAUGUCGAUUUGAUCUCCGCUUCGCUUGGAGUUCUAUUCCCUGGUUUUCUACGAUACUCCUAAGCGAAGGAUCACCAUACACAUGAUGCUCUUCAUGAACGGCGUCGUGGAUUCGGCGUGAACGAAGACGGUUCGUGGAUUCGGAUCGUGAGCUCGUGGAUUCGAGUGGGCGUCGUGGAUUCGACGUGAUCGAGGCUUCGUGGAUUCGAAGUGGUGACGUUUCGUGGAUUCGGGACGUGGCGUUCGUGGAUUCGGACGUGGGGCGUGGACAACCCGUUGGUGUGCGCGAGAUCCGGAGAAGAUAGAAGAGAGGUUUGAGUCCGUGGAUUCGGUAAAUCACCUUGUAAUCUUUUAUUCUUAGUGGAUUGUUAUCGCGUGUUGGUCCCGUGGGUUUUUUACUCCGAGUUUGGAGUUUUCCCACGUAAAUCUCGGUGUGCUUUUUAUUUUUCGCAUUUAUUUUUAUUGCAUCGAGAUUUGUGAUUUUUUUGGCCUUUCACCUAUUCACCCCUCUCUAGGUGAUAGAUACAAUCUAGAUAGAUCCUUGGGCUCCUCAAAACUUUCACACUACUCCGCGACACUUUUGACACGGUCAUGCCUUGCCGGCGAUCGUAUGCUCUGAAAAAAUGUAAAUAAUAAAAGGGUGAGAACUAUAGUUAGUUCUCAGUAGAUGCAAUUGCAAAAAGUAGUCCUCUACACUCGGUCCAAAGGAGGUAUUAAUAGACAAAUAUUGAUAACAACAUAUAUUGCUACAAAAGGAAUGCAAUCAUUAAAUUUUCAACUACAAUAACUUGAGCAUACAAGAUGCUGCUAUGUUUCUGAUUACAUGUUUACCCAACUAUCUCAUGUCUCUAACCAUUUAUUUGAUUGGUUCAUUGACACAUACACAUCUCUUGAAGAGCCGAGAGAGAUCAUACUACUCUCUAAUUUGUAAACACACACCUCAUAGAGAACUGAAGGAGAUCAUACUCUAAUUAGUAGGGACUUGGAGUGAAGGGCGAUCGUCCCUCCGAGUACCACACAUGAAGUCAAGAGCAUCAACACUCCAAUGCAUAGCGGGAGUCGAGGGUGAUCGACCCUCCCAAUGCACAUGAGAGAGUCGGUGAUUGGCACUCCUUAAGGAUACUUCCAAAAGGACACAACAAACUCUUGUGACACCCUAAAUUCAUAUGACUUCUAGGAUUGUUAAACAUGUCCAAUAUACACAAACUUGUCCUCUAGUUCACAUUUAACCUAGAGUUCAUAUGUGAGACCCCAGGUAAUACUAUAUAUAAGAUAUAAUAGGGCUAAACUCUUAACCCUGUUUAAGCAUUUUGGGUGGUAGCUAGUGUCAGAUCAUUGGCGCUUACCAUUAAUCCCAAAAGCUUGAGCUGUUAAAAAUACGCAACCAAUUCAUUUAAAGCGUAUAGAUAAAGCGCCCACGGGUCUCAAUUGUGACUCAGCUCAACUAGCCUCACGCCACUUCGAACAUGACUCGGCCCACCGAGCCUUACGCCAUUUCGAAUAUGACUAGGCCCAACAGGGCCUCCCGCCACAAGGCAGGAUGCUGACCCAUUCAAGCCAACAAUCCCCUCUCCAGCACAUGCACACAUUUGCAGCAUGUGGGAAUCGAACCCGUGACCUUUGGUUCUGAUACAACUUGUCGGAUCGUUGGCGCUAACCAUUAAUCCUAAAAGCUCGAGCUGUUCGAAAUACGCAACCAAUUCACUUAAAGCAUAUAGAUACAGCGCCCACGGGUCUCGAUUGUGACUCGGCCCAACCAGCCUCACGCCACUUCGAACAUGACUCGGCCCACCCAGCCUCACACCAUUUCGAACAUGACUCGGCCCAACAUAGCUUCCCGCCACAGGGCAGGAUGCUGGGUCAUUUAAGCCAACAGCUAGAUUUAAGAGGUUAAGAGAGUUAAGCGUGCUAGGAUGGGAAUAAUCCUAUAAUGGGUAAUNGCCCAACCAGCCUCACGCCACUUCGAACAUGACUCGGCCCACCCAGCCUCACACCAUUUCGAACAUGACUCGGCCCAACAUAGCUUCCCGCCACAGGGCAGGAUGCUGGGUCAUUUAAGCCAACAGCUAGAUUUAAGAGGUUAAGAGAGUUAAGCGUGCUAGGAUGGGAAUAAUCCUAUAAUGGGUAAUCCCCUGAAAAGUUGGGUUGUCACAAUUGGUAUCAGAGCCAAUUAAUAGCCGGAAGUGUGAGAUGAGUCUCAGCUGAGUCAUGUUUAGACAACAGGAAGAGCGAGGCUCUCAUGCUGUUUACUGUUGUGAGUAGAGCGCAGCUCACCACAAGGUCAGUUUAGGCUAGCGAGAUGAGUCUCAUAUCGCCUGGUACUUGUGAGUCUAAGCCUGAUGAAAACAUCAGGGCGUAAAGGGAGGGAGAUUGUGAGACCCCAAGUAGUCCUAUAUAUAAGAUAUAAUAUGGCUAAACUCUUAACCCAGCUUAAAUAUUUUGGGUGGUGGCUAGGCCUAAGAGGUUAAGAGAGUUAAGAGUGGUAGGACGGGAGUAAUCCUAGAAUAGGUGACCCCUGGGGAGUUGGGGUGUAACAUCAUAUGUCUCUAUGUUCAACCUUAGAAUUUGACCUCAGUUCAGAUGCCACACUUAUUUAACCUAUAUCAAAGAUUUACAUUUUACUCGCAUGCAUAAGUUAAUUAUUUCAUUCGCAUACAAAAGGCUAAAAUAAUGUUUUCUAGCAUACCCCUAAAAUCUCAUUUAGUUUGAUUAUCUUACAUAAUACAUGCUAAUAAAUCCAAGAAAAAAUAGGCAAAGGGAAGAUCAAACUCUUUUCGGUGAUAUUCCCUACCUUUACUAAUUCUUGUACAAGAAGAUGAACUUGAUCUCCUAAAAGACAGAAAAUUUCUAAAAAUGACUAUAGCACAAUUAAAGCCUAAAAAUUUCCAUUAGAAUAAACCAACCAAACGUAGGAGAGACAUAGGAUUACAACAAUUCUAAAACCUCAAGAUUACAACAAUUCUAACCAAGGGUACAAAAUGAAUACAUAGGAUCUCACAUAAUGUACAAUUACAUCACAACACUAAGCCACUAAAUAAAUUUGUGGGUUCAUCUAUCAGACAUUGUGAGGCUCUAGCUAGUCGUUGCCUCCCUUGCCACGAUCCCUAGCCUUUCCGGCUGCGGAAGGCUCUGAAACAAAAACAACCAACCAAUGGAGGUAAGAACUAUUAAACAAUAGUUUCCAGUGGAUAUGCUGCCGAGAGUGGCGAAAAACACCACUAGGUCAAUGAGGCAUAGAUAUGAUAUAGGAAGUAUGAAAUAUAAAUGCAACAAAUAGUAGAAUAAUCUCAACUAUAUCAUGCCUCUAUAUGAUAUGUCUCUAGCAUGUAUAUGAAUUCCAAGGAAGAUCCAAAAUAAUACAAUCAGGUCAACAUCUCCCUACAAGAAAUCUUAAGGAAGAUCCAAAAUCCCACAGCUCGGCAAGCAGCCGAACAAAGAACACCAACAAUGCACCCGUCAAAGGUAAAGCUCCAUCCCAGGUAUCACGCAAGGAGUAAUACCUACGGCAACCUCCUUGGCUGCCAACUCAUCCAUCAUCGAACCAAAAGGUCUACCUCUACCAGGUGCCCUCCAAGGUGAGGUCGGUACCAAUGCUGCUAACAUCCCAAUCUUCGAACACUCCCAUCGAAGAUGAUCUGUCUGACUAUCCAAGAAACAUUUGUUUUCGUGUUACGAGCACGGCAAAAAUACGUGUAGACAUCCACGGUUCACACAUCGUAAUAGCUGCCGGUGCUAAGCUGUUCUUCACCAAUAUGAGAAUUCACGCCCUCAAGAUCAAUUCCUUUCAUUUAAGCAUCUUGAUAGAUCGCUUACUCAUCACUUACCACUCUUGGUGGCUUCCUUUGCAAUUCCAAUAAUUUUCAUGCCUUUCUCCUCCGUCAAGGCCUGAUCCAAAUCUCGAAAAGUUAUUGCAGUCAGCUGCUUACAGAUUUGACAUGCCCUUUCACAGCUUAAGUCCCUCAUCCAGUCGGCACAAGUCUCGGCUUGGAAUAAUGCCACAAACGAAACCAAAACAGUAAGCUGCUCACCACAUCCGGACCUCACUUGAUCCGGAGGAUGCAGACUUCCCCAGCUUGGCCACCUCGGCCGCCACGGAGCACGUCUUCGGCAUCCUGAGCUACCACAAGCAACAAACAUAACAAACAUGGGUUAAAACAACUCACGUCGACGAAUCCCCACACAAAGGUACCAAUCCCUCAAUCACGCGAAAGUAGCGAAGCGACUCCAACUAUUCUUCGAUGUCACGUUGUCGGCCGCCAACGUGACUCUCCAAGGACAUAUAAGUUAUCCACUUCGAUCCAACUCCACCACUCUGGAAGUUAUAGACAUGACCCAAUCAUAUUACUUUCGCCAACAAGUCUCAAAAGUCCCCGUCUCUCACGCUCCUAGCGCUUAUCGUUCAACCGGCCUAAGGUUUGCUAGGUCCCCUAAGACUCAACCCUAGGCUCUGAUACCAAACUAAUCUGUCAUGCCCCGGGCUGCAGCGAAAGCCUGCCGGGCGCGUGCCCAGACCCGCCGUGCACACCAAAAGCCACGAUGUGCACAAGGCGUCUACAAUAGCCAAAGAGAGCAAUAGAAAAAUUCAUCCUAGACAUGGUAACCAGAGCAAGAAUAUACAACAGCUAGAUAGAAAAAUUUGGAACUAAAACCUCAAGAUUACAACAAUUCUAACCAAGGGUACAAAAUGAAUACAUAGGAUCUCACAUAAUGUACAAUUACAUCAUAACACUAAGCCACUAAAUAAAUUUGUGGGUUCAUCUAUCAGACAUCGUGAGGCNCAUCUAUAGUUACUCCGCAGAGGCUCUAGCUAGUCGCUAACCCCUUGCCACGAUCCCUACCCUUUCCCGUUGCGGAAGGCUCUAAAAUAAAAACAACCAACCCAUGGGGGUGAGAACUAUUAAACAAUAGUUUCCAGUGGAUAUGCCGUCGAGAGUGGCGAAAUACACCACUAGGUCAAUUGAGGCAUAGAUAUGAUAUAGGAAGUAUGAAAUAUAAAUGCAACAGAUAGUAGAAUAAUCUCAAGUAUAUCAUGCCUCUAUAUGAUAUGUCUCCAACAUGUAUAUGAAUUCCAUCUCUAUAAUUACAUGCAAAAAUAAUUAUGUAUGCAACAAUAAAUUGCUAGUCCACAUCUAAACCAUGAUUAUUUAAUAUGGUAUAAUUCUCACAUUGUCAUUGACAUUAUAUGGUUAUAGUCAUCAUUGAGCUAUUGUUCUACAUUUAACAUCACAAGUGUAGGUUACAAAUACUAAGGGUGUCAAUGCAACAAUGUUCCACAACAAAAACCUCCCUCUACUAUGAAUGCAUCAAAUCUCAACAUAGGGUAACCAACUACUAUUAUGACUAUCUAUUAGGUAUGCAUCCAUAAGUAUCAAGGGUAUCAACUUACUAGUAUAUCCAACAUAAUGUCAAGUCUAUUUAACUCUUGGUUAACAUAGUUCAAUUCAUCAAGAUCUACACAAGUGUAGUCCGGCUUGUGCCACCUAAUUGCCCGUGGUAAUCCAUCAUUCCCUCUCUAGGAAUGAGCCCAUACCACGCCGACCCAGUAGGCACCCAAUACUGCACGAGCGAGCAUCUGUCGCGUAUGCCAACUUCGGAGUGCCGGCUUGUGGGGAGCGACCCUCACAAGCAUGUGCGAAUGAGCACAAAUGGCAAGCAAGUAUGAUUAUCAUCUCAAGUAUAUGGUCGUCAUGUCUCAAACAUGGUAUAAAUACUAGCAACCCAAAGGUCUAGUUCUAUGUCAUAGUGUAUAAGUUUAACCAUUCACUAAGUCCAAUGCCUCUUUAUGACAUUGUUAUUUUCUAUGCUAUCGCACAUGUUCCAAGCACAUUAAGGUUCACAUUUCAUUAUUCUAAUGAAGAUGGUUCUAUGCCUCAUUCAUGAACCUACCAAUGUGUACUACUACCACUAUAAUGCCAUAUGCAAAAAAGGUAAUCUUCUAAUGUCAAAUCCAAUGAACCCCAUGGGUGUCUUAUCAAGUCAUCGUAUAUGUCAUGCAUAUACCUUUCUACAUGAUGCCUCCACUUCAUGGAGUAUUAUAAAUAUCCAUACAUAGCCAUGCAAAUGCUUAAUUUCAUUGAACUACUCAAGUAUAUACUUAUCAUUUACAUAUCAUUUGCAUAUUCUAACACAUAAAACUCCUACAUGCCUUUAGUAUAAGGGUUCAUCUAUCAACUCAUAGGUCGGCAACAUAGUGUGCAUCACUACAUGAGCCACCUCUACAUAGAGUAUAAAAUUAUCAUGCAAGUGCAUAGCUUUCUUUUACUCAUGCAACAUGUACUACAACAUGCUUUACUCUUUACUAUAGAGAGUACAUCAACCAUCUUACGCAUCAUACGGAUGUCAAGUAUUCGAACUAUAUCAAUCAUCGUGUCUAAAACACGGAAUCUCAUUUGUCAACUUAAGGGUCAACAUAAUGUUACCCGGUAAACUUAGUUGUUCAUUUAAGCUAAGUACAAUAUUCAUGGCUCUACAUCAAAUGGUUGACAUAUCGUACAUCAUGCUCAUCUUUAUCUAGUAAGAAAUUAGUUGCAAAGUCCACUCGUUCCAUUAGCCCUCUAGAGUCUCAAAUGACCUAGAAUUCAUCUCUAUUAUGCAUUCCUACAAUGCACCAAAAGGAACAUGUCCUCGUACUAUAAUUUCAUAGAUACACCAUGCAUGCUUUCAUCAAUUGUUCUCUACUACAUAGAGCAUACAAAAUGUUAUACAUAACAUGUAUAUUUCAAGCACUCUAAAAUUCUAUCAUGGCAUAAAUAUCAUGAUUAUGCUACAAUUAAGUCCUAUAAUAUCAUAGGAGACAUAAGGGGAGUUCACCCAUUUUAGUGAGGUCAAACCCACCGGAUCACAUCCGAACGCUUUCGUUCUUCCGAACAAAGUUCUCCACCGAGUUUCUAGCACCCUAAGAAGAAUUCUGAAGGGUUAAAAGCUUCCAAAUAACUAUUUCGAAAAUCUUCGAAAAUUGCACAUGUAAGAAGUGAAAAAUACCUUAGAUCAAGAAGAACUUGAUCAUGUAAGUUUUGAGGAGCCCUAGGAUCUAUCUAGAUUGUAUCAAACACCUAGAGGGGGGUGAAUAGGUGUAAUGACCAAAAACCACAAAUCUCAAUGCGAUAAAAGUAAAUGCGAAAAAUAAAAAUCACACCGAGAUUUACGUGGGAAAAACUCCAACUUGAAGAAAAAAACCCACGGGACCAACACGCGAAAAAAUAAUUCACUAAGAGAAAAGAUUACAAGGUGAUUACCGACUCUACGGACUCGACCUCUCUUAACCUCCUAUGAAUCUUGCGCAAUCCUCCGGGUUGUCCACGCCAUCACGUUCGAAUCCACGAACGCCUCGUUCACGUCCGAAUUCACGAACGCCACUCGAAUCCACGAGCCCACGAUCCGAAUCCACGAACCGCCUUCGAUCACGCCGAAUCCACGACGCCGUCCAUGAAGAACAUCAUGAUUAUGGUGAUUCUUCGCUUAAGAGUAUUGAUGAAAACCAGAGAACAAUCUCCAAGCGAAGUUUAGAUCAAUUCGACAUAUAGAUAUGAAAUUUCAAUACUUCGAAUUGAUCUAAAAGAGGCUAAUUUGUAGAAAAUAGGUUUUGAGCGAAAUCCUAGCCUCUAGGGUUUCUCAAACAUAUAUUUUCGUGAUGUACAAUGAGUUAGAGAACCCUAAUACUUUAUUUAUAGACUUUAGAAUCAAUUAGAGUCGGAUUAGAAAGUUUUCAGAUUUUUACACUACGUACCGGUACUAAAAUAAGUUGUUACCGGUUACACAAGGACGGAACAAAAAACUUUUAAAUACUGAAAACCGGUUACAAAGUCAAUGUUGUACCGGAACCAAUUUAGUACCGGUACACUUUCAAUGCUGUACCGGUACACAGUGAAGUUUCCAAAUUUUGCACUAUUUCGGGUUUCACAAAGUUGUGAAGCACUUUCUAAUCCACUAAACUUUGAUUUUCAUGAUUCUAACGUCUAUAACUAAGUAUGAAUCACCAAUAACAUGAAUUAAAACCUUACCUUAGCAUCGUGAUUCAUGUCGUGAGUUAUUUCUGAUUUUUUCGAAAUCUUGGAUUCUUCGAUCUUCGACAAUAUGCACCGAUCCUUCAAGACUCCGACUCAACUCACGAAACUUGCCAAUACAAAAUACUUAACAAUCUCCCCCUUUAGCAAUUUCGUGACAAAACUCAAAAACACAAAAUUACAUCAUAAAAGAACAACGAAGUUCAAUGUCAUCACCAAAAAUAUUGAACCCCUCGCGUGUAAUCCAAAUUACAUAUGAAGUUCAAAAUUAUAUCAAAACUCCUAAAACAGACUCUAUGAUUUAGACGCAACUGGGAGUCUUGAAGUCUUGCAUUCCUGCAAAACAAAUUAUCCAACAACGAUGUAGAAAUUUAAAAACAUUAGAUGCUUAUACCUUCAAAGUCAUUGUCCUCGAAAUUUCAUUGCUCCUCCCCCUUUGUUCUUGAAUUCUCCUCCUGCUUUGAUCAAUACCUGUCCACCUAUGUUCUCCCCUUUUUUAUCAAAAAUUGCCAAAACACAGCAUAUAGAGAGAAAAUAUACUAGAAAGCAGAAAAAUAGUCAUGUCAUAGAUACAGGCCUACAAGUAAAGCAAAGACAAGCAAAAACUAAACAUAGUCCUAGGAGAAAAGAUAAAACAGAAAUACUAAGGCUCAAAGACAUUAUCACUCUGUGUCCUCAUCAUCAUCAUCCUCUCCAGCUCUAUCUCCUCCAACAUCAGGUGCACUGGUAGUCGGUGGAAUAAGCGGAUGUGUCGAUGUCGAUCUAGUGUAGGUAGGAAAAACAUCGUCGUGUCGACAUCCAAGCUUCUCCAUUAUCCUCUUCAUCCCUUUUUCCAAUCUCUUUAAACCUUUCUUAACAGAAUGCACCUCACGGUGAAGUGACUCUACAGUAAUCACUCUCCCUGAGCUUGAAGAUCCCUCUCGCUCUGCACGAUGUGGAUGUGCAGAACUAGAAGCCGCACGUGCCUGUCCCUUGGUCUGCUGAAAAGUCUUCAAAGUGCUCACUGACUUGGCCCAUGUCACUCCAUCAAUCGGUCCAAGGCCAUAGUCAUAUUUCUCACAUGUCACGUCUAUUCCAUUUUCUUGCAUAAUCCGCGUGAUCAAUAUAGGAAAUGGAAGUAGCUCACGUUGUCCCGAAGACUAUAUCACGUGCACCAUUCGUUGCCACAUUAGGAACGGAAUAUUGAUAUUUAAACCAUCUGCUUGCUCGGGGUGGCCAAGGAGAUAUAGAAGCACAAGUCGAUCCCAGCGAAUCCUUUUAGUCCCAAUAGUAGGUUGAACGUUGUAACAAAGAACCAAGGACAAAAGGUGAUACUCAGGCCGCAAGUCCUUCGACUCCACAUAACCAUGGUUUGUCCUCGUUCUAUCUUUGCAAAUUGCACGAACAACCAUGUCCCAGUGAGAUGAAGACUGAUAAAUCCCUGAUGUAUAAUGAAGACCCGUGGUAUCUACAUGCAACCCCAAAAGCUCACCAACUGUGUGUGGGGUAACAAGAAUCCUCUGCUGGCGCACAUAUGUCUCGAAUAAGUACGUGUCGCUCUCCUCAUCCUCUGCUAGAACCUUUCCACACAUGUAGAACUCCCGAAUGAGUUCCACACAAAAAGGUGAACGUGCCGAAACCCGUCCAACGAGCUCGAUAGGAGCUCUCUGAAGUAAACACCCAAAGUCUGGAACCUCCCUGACAAGUUCGUUGAAGUUCACAUAACGUUCCCCAAGGCACGAUCUACUUGAGAAUGCUUUUCGCCGCUCCGUUUGAAUCUCUGCUGCAUGCUUUGAGCGACUUUCAUGCUCACGAGGUCCACCUUCUCGAACGACAGGGCCACAUUUUUUCUUACGAGAGGUUUCACCUGCUAUCCCUUUUCCUUUGUCAGUGUGAACAACUGUUUCUUCAGCCUCCUCGUAGGAGCUUGCCCGAUAAUCCGAAUCAGAAUCUGACGACUCGUCGGCAGUACGAGUCCUCUUAAAAGCCCCACGACGGCCUCUCCCGCGACUACGACCACUCCCCGUGGCCAUAAGCACCAUCAGAACCAAAACCAAUGAAAAUGUCAUUUUUCCUAUACAAAAACAAACCUUGCAUGAACAUAAUCACAAUAAAAAUCUGUAAAAAAUAGUGAAAAAUUUCCAAUAAUAUUAGAAUGCAUAAUAACACUAUUUCUAACUAAUGCAAGCAAGAUUUUUCAUUAAAAGUGGCAUUUAACAUGUAAUCCCGAAAUUUUAUAUAUAUCAUGGUACAGAUUAUAGAUCAGCAAAAAAUAACGCAUUAUAUCAUGAUCUAAGUGUUCUAGAAGUGAGAAUACAUGUAUAUAAACUGAAUCACAGCAAAAAAUUGCAACAAAAAUGGUUCAAAACUGAGAUCGAGCUUCGUCCCGGAGUUCGUUAAAAACAGCAAGAACGUGAGAAAAAGAAUAAAUCCGAGCAAAAUACUCACAGAUUUUUGAAGAAACUGCGUGGAUCUGGAGGAGAAGAGUGCUUGGGAAGUUUAGAGAGAGAAAGGGAACGAUUUGAUUGAGUUUUGAGAGAUAAACAAAACCCGUAGCCGGUUUAUAAAACGCGGUCUAUAGUACUUGUACCGGUACACGGGAUUUGGUACCAGUACAGGUUGCCAAAAUUCGAAAAUUUUACCUCGAAAAUCCUUCAAAAUUAAAUUAAUUUUAUAAAAAUUAAAGAUUGUACUUCAAAAAUUAUUAUAAUGAAUAUAAAAUAUUACAUAAAUUCAUAAUUCAUCGAAACGUCAAAAUUGUGUUAUCAAAAUAAUCUAAUGAUUCAAAACCAUCAAGAUGUAAUGGUUCAUGAGAAAUGACUUUUCGAAAUUCGGCAAAAUUGACAUCAAUUUGUCGUAAAUCUUUCAAAAUAAAGAUUUAACUAAUAAAACACCGGGGAUGGCUCUUUGAGCAUCCUUUCCUCCUACCACCUUAUAACUUCGAAAAAAAAAUCUAAAAUAUUCAAUUUUCAACCUUUUCGGUUAAUCAAUUAAUCUCCAUGUGGUAGCUUCACACACUUACCGGACGACCGGGGUGGUAGCUCUUUCCUACAUGUGGUGGUAGUUUUCACACUCCUUUUGGAUGUAACUCUUUUUCAUAUCUUUUUACUCAUAGGAGUAUCUUUUUCUUUUUUUUUAAUCAUUUUAAACUCCCCAUAAAUUAGACAAUUUCACAGUUGAAAGUAAUUGACAAAUUUUAGUCUAUUAGCGAAUAUCUAUUCAUCAUAUUCAACACACACAACCAAGAUAGAUUAAUUGCCAAGAGAUCAAAAUUGAUUCCAUAAUUUUGAUGAAUAUAUGUAUUAAGAAUUCAUAUAAUAAAUUAUCGUGAAAAUAAUAAAGAGUGGAGUAAAACCGAUAAUUAAUAUGAAUUUAACUCAAUAUGAAUUUUAAUUUGGUUAAGGCACUUUGAAAAUUUUAAUCUUCCCAAAAUAAUGAUUUUAAAUCGUCGCCUUUCUCAAAAAUCAAAUUUUAAUUCCCAAUCAUCCUUCUCAAAACGAUUUAAAAAAAUUAAAAUACCAAAAAUCGUUUGAACAUAUAAUGCAAUGAAUAAUAAUAUGCAAUAAGCACCAAUCAAAGUAUUACAUAAAUAUAAGCAAACUAAGACGAAGAAUAAGGAAAGAUAUCACCUUUUCGAAUCCAAACUUGUCGGAUUGUUGGUUGUCUUGGCUUGUCGACAUUAGGCACGGUUUGCUUCAACUUUUGAUCCACCGUCGACCCUUUUGUUGCAUGUGGCUUUUGUUGAACUCGACGUUGUGGCUUUAAAUUCCGGUUUACUUGUGGUCCUCGACUCAAUCGAUUUUUCUUUUGAUUCCAUGGGGGAAGUCGAGUGGUAGAGGGUGCCGACGGACGUUUAGAAAUUGCCGGUUGAUACUUCUUAUUCGUCGCCGGGCAAUUCUUUUUGAUGUGUCUUUUAUUCCCACAUUUAUGGCAUGGCACACCUUUUCCUUUGAAUUUGUUGAGACAUUAGAAAUUGGCUUUAAAUCCUUCUCAACAUAAGUCCUUUCGUAACCGAGACCAAGCUUGUUCAUUUGACCCAAUCCGAGCAUGUGGUCCAAUUUCUUCGAUCCGGAAGAAAAUUUUUGAAUGUCGGAUUUGAGUUGACGAACUUGAUUGCUCAACACUUGAUUGGAUGCGUGAGUUUCCUUGAAUUGAUGCUCCAAAAAUCGAAUCUUGUCUUUAGAAGAUCUAAUCAUUAAUUCCGCUUCAUCAAGCUUCUCUUGGAGGAUCGAAUUAUUCUUCAAAUUUGAUUCCCUUUCCUCCUCGAGAGCUUUGUUUGUAGUCCUCAAAUUGUUAUUCUCCUCUUCAAGGUCCAAUAAACGCCUCCUCAACUUCUUAUUAUGCUUUGCUAUCUUAUUUGAUUCAAUAAGAAGUUGAUCGUAUGCUUCCGUUAUAUCCUUGUCGUUUGACUCCUCCUCGCUUUCGCCAUCAUCGCUCGAAGUUCCAUGCAAGGAAGGAGAAACACUAAAAUUAGAAACAAUAAAGGAUAAACAAACAACAUUAGACGAAGGCAAAGAAGUGUUAGUAAAUAAAGCAAGAUUUUCAUUCUUUUCUUCGUCACUUGAAGUAGAAUCAUCCCAAGUUUUCGCUUGCAAAGCCUUCGGUUUAUAAGUUUUCUUAGAAGGACAAUCCGUGGAAAUAUGGCCGUAACCUUUACAUUUGUAACAUUGGAUUUCCCCUUCAAAAUUAUUUUUUUCUUUAGAAGGCUUUGUAAGUUUCUUAUCCUUAGAUUUUGAACUUGAACAUUGUUUAGAAAACAAUUUUUGCUUCGAAGAUGAAGCCUUGUUUGAUUUGUUCUUCCGAAAAUUCUGACGAAACUUCUUCAUUAGAAGUGCCAAUUGGUGUUCAAAAUCCGCAAUUGAUAUGUCAUCGUCGGAUCCCGAGUCCUCGUCUUCCUCCUUUGUCGAUUUCAAAGCAAUCCCUGUACUUUUAGAGAAAGACUUGGAAGAAGAUUGGUUAGUAGGAAAAGUCAUCACAUAAGUUUGCAAAGCACUUACUAACUCUUCCACUUUCAUCUCAUUCGGAUGCUUAACCAUUUCAAUUGCGGCAACUUUUGCCCUAAAGUGUUCCGAAAGAGUUCGAAGAAUCUUUCUAACAACCUUAGAAUCCGGAAUUUUCUCCCCCAAGUUCGCACAAGUAUUAACAACAUCUUGUAUACGCGUAUAGUACUCGGUAAAGGUCUCGUGUUCGUCCAUACAAAUUGAAUCAAAUUUACUUGUUAAUAUUUAUAAUUUUUGAACCUUUACCAAGCUAGUUCCUUCAUGCGUAACUUGUAGAGUAUCCCAAAUUUUCUUGGCGGUUUCACACGCCGAAACACGAGUAAACUCCGUUUGAGAUAAAGCAUUAAACAACGCAUUAAUUCCCUUGCCAUUAAACGAAGGUGAUUCGUUUUCAUCUUUUGUCCACUUAUUCUAGGUUUAGGGACAGUAGCAUUAUCGACAACUUCGGUAGGAUGUUUUCACCCGAAUUCGAUAGCUUGCCACACUCACUCGUUGAUUGCAAUUAGAAAAGCUCUCAUGCGAACCUUUUAAUAGGCAUAAUUCGUGCCAUCGAAAAGUGGUGGUCGAUUAAUGUUACCGCCUUCGGCCAUUAGAUAGCAAUAUAUCUAUAUCCUUGCUCUGAUACCAAUUGUAAGUUUUGAGGAGCCCUAGGAUCUAUCUAGAUUGUAUCAAGCACCUAGAGGGGGGUGAAUAGGUGUUGUAACACACUGGACCUGUGCAAAUUGCGAGGUUCGAGUGUUUGAUAUGGAUUCCGAACUUUUUCACACUUGGUGGAAGGUCAUAGAUGGUAUUCCGACCUAAAAGUUCGAUUUCUGGAGCUUUGGCUUUGUCCUGAGAGUUUUCACUCUCGGGGACCGGUCCCUGAUAGGAGAAACCGGUCCCCUCGGAAGAGUGUUGCGGCAGUCUGUGAGGCAACCGGUCCCUAGCGGAUGAGACCGGUCCCCGAGCGCGACUACGCGGAGAGAGACCGGUCCCAUGCAGGGAGAGGCCGGUUCCCGAAUGUUGGAUUUUCGGGGCAGGCUGAGAGACCGGUCCUAGGUCGGGGAGACCGGUCCCUCAAUCCGAAAACUGCCCAGACCCAGGCAGUGCACAGGUUGCUUUGUUGGAGGGCCUAGGUGAAUAUUGUUGCAAUAGAGGGCUUUUAUGGCCACUCCACUUUCUCUCUCCUUCAUUUCUCUUCUCCCAACUCUCCCUACACUUUAGAUAGAGAAUAAGAAGAAGAAGGAGAAGAAGAAGAAGGAAGGAAGGAGAAAAAGAAAACCACCAAGAGGACUUGGAGCAUCUUUCUCUCCCUCUCUUCUUCCCUUGGGUGCUUGAAGGCUUGGACUUGGAGCUUGCUAAAGAGGAGAUCUUCACUUUUGGAACUUGGAUUGGAGCUUCUCUAGAGGUUAGUAGCCCAUUUCUCUCCUCUAGACCUAGUUUUGAUGGUUUUUGGGAAAUGGAACCCUAGAAUGGAAAAUCUAGGGUUUAUUUGGGGCUUUUUGAUUAAGGGCUUUUUGAGCUAAUCUAAUUAGAUUAGAACCUUGGUUUAGGUUGCUUUGGAAGGGAUCUAGCUUCCAUUUGAGAUUUGGAAAGGGAUUUCUACACUAUUGGUGAGAUUUUGGCCCUUUUGCUUAGUAGUUUAAUGUUUGAGCUUGUAGUUGAUCGUAAGAUUCGUUUAACCUUUGUUCUUGUGCCUCUAGGGUACUAAGAGGCUAGAGGACACCUUCGUUGGAGCUUACGAAGGGUUUCGAGACGGUUCGGUAGGUUUGACCUAGACUAACAUAUGAGAAAUUAUCAUAUCCUAUGUCUUAUGUUUCGUAAAGUAGAAAUUCAUGCAUUUCCAUGUUAAAUGUAAUUAUUGUGAAUUUUAGGAUGCUUAACAUGCCUAUGUUAUGUGUAAUAAAUUUUCGGGCCUCUAUGUAGUAGAGAACUAGCAUGUGGAACUUGUACAUGAUUGGCAUCCUAUUGAGACUUGGAAUCAUAAUUCCUAUUGUGAAAAUGAGCAUUACUUUCAUGCAUUUAAAGCUAUUCCUACUUGAGACUUAAAGGAUCUUAGUAAGCCAUAAAGAGGCUUAGGGACUUGUACUACUUGAGAAUAAUUGGGCUAAUGUCAUUAAGCGGCAUCGAGCUCGGGUCAUGUAUGAACCUAGUGUUAAGGUCAUUAAUGGAAUAUUGAAUAGGUGGUGUGCUUGACCUAUAGAAAUGCUUAAGUGUCAUAAAGAGGCACUAAGCAUAGUGAUAAAGUUGGAACUUCACCUUGAGACAUAGAACUAGAUCGUUGGAUGUUAGUGGCUAUUACCAUGUUAGAGGCAUGAGGAUUGGGUACUUGAGAUGAUGAUUAUGCUUGCUUGCCAUUUGUGCUCAUUCGCACAUGCUUGUGAGGGUCGCUCCCUACAAGCCGGCACUCCGGAGUUGGCCUACGCGACUUAUGCUCGCUCGUGCGGUAUCGAGAAACCUACGGGGUCGGGAGGGAUAGACUCAUUCCUAGAGUGGAAAUGCUGGAGCUACACCGACACUUAGGUGGCACAAGCUGAACUACACUAUGUAGGUCCUAGAACAUGUUGGAAAUAAUGACAUUGAACGGAAAAAUGACAAUCACUACUAGAUAGACUUAGUAGUUGGAUUAUUUUGACAUGCUUAUAGCAUAGUGCUGAGACAUGUAGUAUACUUGACAGUUUACUUGUUGCAUCAUAGUAUACUUGGUUGCCAUGAUAGAUCAUAAUCGUCAUACAUUGAUAGAACGGAUCAUGAUAUUUACUUGUUGCCAUGUUGGGACAUACUGUUUUGUGCAUUGGACAUACUUCACUUUAAUAAAGCAAAUGUACAAUACUUGGACAUCAUGUUUAUGCGCGACAUAGUAGCUUAGCAUUUUAUUUAUGCUUUCAUAAAUACAAUCUAUUUACUAUUAUUGUUGCUUUUUGGACUUACCCUUUUCUUUUGGGGCCUAGUGGUGCAUUGAGCUGAGGUCAGUAACUGCCUACUGGGAACUAUAAAUUAUAGUUCUCACGCCCUCUGUUUUAUGUCUUAUUUCAGAGCCUUCCACGCCGGGAGAGGCUAGGGACCGCGGAAAGGGUAUCGCCUCGAGCUAGCUUGCUAUCUAGGGACGCGUUGAUAGGUGGUCUACCUCUUGUUAUUUUUUUUUUGGAGAGGUUGAGAGUUAUAUCCAUGUGUAGUGACCACCCUUUUGUGUACCCUUUUUUGGAGAUGGUUAUUGUAUAACUUUAUGACUCACUUUUAUUGUUUAGCAUAUUUUUCUAUCACUUUGUUAUAGAUGAUAGAUUUACUCUUACUCUGAUAUCUCUAGUUGUAGAUCAUUUCUUUGGUUUUAUUUUUCGCUGUUAUUGUAGACGCCUUAUAUGUGCUGACAUAUGGCGGGUCUGGGCGCGCUACCGGGAGGGCCUCCGCCGAUCCCGGGGCGUGACAGGUGCAAUGACCAAAAACUACAAAUCCCAAGGUGAUUACCGACUCCACGGACUCGACCUCUCUUAACCUCCUAUGAAUCUGGCGCAAUCCUCCGGGUUGUCCACGCCCUCACGUCCGAAUCCACGAACGCCUCGCUCACGUCCGAAUCCACGAACGCCACUCGAAUCCACGAGCCCACGAUCCGAAUUCACGAACCGCCUUCGAUCACGCCGAAUCCACGACGCCGUCCAUAAAGAACAUCAUGAUUAUAGUGAUUCUUCGCUUAGAGUAUUGAUGAAAACCAGAGAACAAUCACCAAGCGAAGUUUAGAUCAAUUCGACAUAUAGAUAUGAAAUUUCAAUACUUCGAAUUGAUUUAAAAGAGGCUAAUUUGUAGAAAAUAGGUUUUGAGCGAAAUCCUAGCCUCUAGGGUUUCUCAAACAUAUAUUUUCGUGAUGUACAAUGAGUUAGAGAACCCUAAUACCUUAUUUAUAGCCUUUAUAAUCAAUUAGAGUCGGAUUAGAAACUUUUCAGAUUUUUACACUGCGUACCGGUACUAAAAUAAGUUGUUAUCGGUUACACAAGGACGAAACAGAAAACUUUUAAAUACUGAAAACUGGUUACAAGGUCAAUGCUGUACCGGAACCAGUUUAGUACUGGUACACUUUCAAUGCUGUACUGGUACACAGUGCAGUUUCCAGAUUUUGCACUAUUUAGGAUUUCACAAAGUUCCGAAGCACUUUCUAAUCCACUAAACUUUGAUUUUCAUGAUUCUAACAUCUAUAGCUAAGUAUGAAUCUCCAUAACAUGAAUUAAAACCUUACCUUAACAUCGUGAUUCAUGUCGUGAGUUAUUUCUGAUUUCUUCAAAAUCUUGGAUUCUUCGAUCUUCGACAAUAUGCACCGAUCCUUCAAGACUCCGACUCAACUUACGAAACUUGCCAAUACAAAAUACUUAACAGAUCAAAGCCCAAAUCGAGGCUAGGAAGCUUCAAAUCCAACCUAUAAGAGUAUUAUACACUCAUCAAUUCCAUUCCAAAAGCUCAUAAUAAGAAAAUCCCAAAAUGAACCCUAGUUUUUCAAAAACUAGGUUUUCUCCCAAAACUCAAACAAAUCUCUUAGAUAGAGCUUAAGAGAAGGUUUCUAACCUCAAAACAAGCUUCAACUUGAGCCAUCAUGUGCUAGGGUUGAAGUUUGAACCAUCCACAAGCUCCUCUCAUCACCUCCAAGCUCCAAGACGCAAGCAACCAUAGAGGAGAGGAAAAAAAAAGAGAUCAAUCCUAAAAAAUCCAAGAGAUUUAGAGGAAAAAUCAAGAGAGAAAAGGGGAAGAACUCACCUCUAUCCUCUCUCUCAAGCCUCAGCCAUUGAGGAACAAAUAGGGGGUGAAGGGGUAUAUAAACACAUUGUAACAAUAUCCCCAUAAGCCCUCCAACAAGCAGAAAUUGCAUCCUGCACGAAUAGCAGUUUUCUGCACUGCGUACCGGUACUCGGGGAAGAGUACCGGUACCCUGCACAAAAUUCUGCUCAACCCGAGUCUCGGUCAAGCCUUCACACUACGGCGUACCGGUACUCGGCCAAUGCUCUACUGGGACCCGACCACCCAACAGCUCAAACUCGAGAGCAGCUUCUCUCGGUUAUACAGGGGAGUUCUGGUACCAUCUCUCUGGUAUCGGUACUCAGCACCACAAAACCUACAGUUUGAAGGUUUUGGUGCUAAGUACUCCGCCUCACGUUCUCACAACACGAGUAAUCGGUCGGUACUCAGUCAACGACCUUCAAAAUCACUAAGAAUAGCGCAAGCACUAUUCUAACACUGGAACCUUGCAAUUUGCUAAAGUUCAGUGUGUUACAUAUGAAUUCAUAUAUAAGUGUUUGUGCAUGCGAUAGUGUAGAAUUCGCAUACAUGCUAAAUGACAUCUCAUAUAGAGGCAUGAUAUAGUUGAGAUUUACUUUUCAUAUUUUCUAUAUCAUAUCUAUGCCUCAGUUGACCUAGUGCUGUAUUUCACCACUCUCGGCUGCUUACCCACUGGAAACUAUAAAUUGUUUAAUAGUUCUCACACCCAUUGAUUGGUUGUUUUUGUUUCAGAGUCUUCCGCAGCGGGAAAGGUUAGGGAUCGUGGCAAGGGAGGCAACGACUAGCUAGAGCCUCACGAUAUGUGAUAGAUGAACCCACAAUAUAUCUAGUCGCUUAGUGUUGUGAUGUAAUUGUACAUUUUGUGAGAUCCUAUGUUUUCAUAUUGUACCCUUGAUUAGAAUUGUUGUAAUCUUGAGGUUUUAGUUCCAACAUUUUGUAUCUAGUUGUUGUAUAAUCUCGCUCUGAUUACCAUGUUUAGGAUGGAUUUUUCUAUUGCUUUUCUUGACUAUUGUAGACGCUUUGUGCACAUCAUGGUUUUGGUGUGUACGACGGGUCUGGGCACCCGCCCGGCGGGCUUUCGCUGCAGCCCGAGGCGUGACAUAUAAAAACUAGCCAUUGGGUGUCAUGACCCAAACCCCACAAAUAGAAUCAAGACCACUGCGCCUCCAUAAAAUCAAAUUUAAUUUAAAUUCAAAACUUAUGGGUGUGCAAGGCUUCCACUAUAGCAAGAUCAGCUGACAAUAAAAAAACUCUAUAUAGGGUAAUCAAUAUUAUAGCAAGAAUAUUGGAGGAAAUAAAAUCAUCCCAAUUAAGUAUAAAUGAUGCAGAAAUGUAAAUACUAUUAGCACAAACGAAAAUAGUGUGUAUAUAUGGACUAAUACAAAUAAAAUAUAACAUAUAAAGUACAUAUAUAUCAAACUAUAGGAGUUCGGCUGGGAUACUAUCAAUAGCAUCAAGCAUUUGGCGCUGUUAGAUUUAACCCUUUGACUAUUUUCACCCGUUAGAUUAUACUAUUCAACCAAUAACUUACUCAACCCUAGGGGCCUACAUCAUCCUAACCGUAUAUUUUUUCACCCAAGGGCAAAAAACCUAAUAGCACCAAUAGCUUGGCUGUAAUAUACCAAACUUCUACAAUUAUAAUGUUUCGAUAGGAAUUAGCUUAAAAGGCUAAUUAAAUAAGUUCCAACAAGGUUUGGAGAGCAUUUGAGUGUUUUCGGCACAAACUAAACGCGAAAAUAGACUCGAAAAUCUGAAAUCUACCUAAGUUGUAGAUUUUGUAUUGAGUAUCAGUACUGGGAUUUGAGUACCAGUAUGCAAUAUAAAAGAUGGAAAACAUGCUCUCGGGUAUUUGAGGUACCGAGGCUUGGGUACCGGAACAAGAUUUGUGGAUUUUGUAUUGGGUACCGGUACGUAGGAUCAAGUACAGGUACGCAAUGUAAAAGCUGGAAAAUAAGCUCUCGGGUUUUGAGGAAUCAAACCUGAGUACUUGUACUGGAUUUGUACUAGGUACCGGUACUGGAAGGUGAGUACCAGUACGCAGUGGAAAAAUUAAAAAUCUAACAUUCGGAUUCUGAGGUACCGAAAAUCGAAUACCGGUACUGGAUGCUCGAGUACCGGUACGCCAACCCGAGUACCGGUACUCAGCCCUGCAGAAUGCUAUUUUUGAAGGGUAAUUUCGUAAAUUCAGUUGGGGGCUUAUAUACGGGGACCCUUCUCCCCUUUCUCUGCAGAAAACACACAUUCACAUACACACAGAGAGAGAGAGGGAGGAGCUCAUCUCUCUCACUCUCUUCUUCUCCUUCUCCAACUUGGAGAUAUUGGUGGAGACCGACCUCGGGAAUGCGUAGAGAACGGUGGAUCGAGCUCUCGGAUGCUUGGAGGCUCGGAGUGCUUCCGACUCGAGGUUCAUUUUUGGGUUAAAAUUUUAGGAUUUGGAUUAAAUCCUUUGAAAUGUGAUUCUAGAGAUCCCUGGAUGAUUCUAAACUAGUUUAAUCAAGAUUUCUCCAUGGAUUUGGGAUAUUUUCGGGGAAAUGAGAAUCUAAGGUUAGAAUUGGGGGUUUUGAGGUUUUAAGGUUUUGAACCAAAUUGAUCUUCUAAUUCUCUAAUUGAAGGGUAGAGGAGAGCCCCAGGCAACCGUAAAUUGGAAAUCGGCGAGCGUUCAGUUGUCAAUUUCGAGGACACACCGAACCGGGCGACAUUGGCCGUGGGAGUCUGAUUGCAAGCGUCUACAAGCAAUCGGAAGCAUUGUGAGGUGGGUUGUGCUUUACCGAAGUGUUAGGUCCUAUAUGUUGGCAAGUUUCGUGGGUCGAGUCGGAGUCUUGAAGAAGUCUGGAGCGGAGUAUUGAAGAUCGAAGAAUCCAAGACUUCGAAGAAUCAGAAAGGACGCAAAACACGCAAAACUUGAAUCACGAUGCGUAGGUAAGCUUUAAAUCUUGUUUAUGGUGAUUCAUACUUAUUUAUAGAUCUUAGAAUCAUAUUUUCAUAUUGUAAUUGAUUAAAAAGUUUCUAAGAGCUUGUAAAAUCCGAAACAAUGCAUUUUCAGCAAAAAUUGCAUUGUUGUACCGGUACAAGGGUUUUCUGUCCAGGGUACAGACAUCAGCGUUUGCGCAGAAAAGUUUGAUGGUUGUUCCGGUACAACCAUCACGGCUGUACCGGUACAAGCCCUGUUCCGGAACAAGCUGCAGCCUGUUCAGGGUACAGAAGCUUCGCAGAAAAAUCUUCCGUCAUGCUGUACCCUAGACAACUUUCCUUGUUCCGGUACAAGGUUCUGAUUUUGGAAAGAAACUUUCUAAUCCUACUUCGUUUUGAUUCUAAAGUCUAUAAAUAAGCUAUAGAGGUUCUCUAACUGAUUAAGCUUGAUAAGAUUACAUGUUUGAGAAACCCUAGAGGCUAGUAUUUUGUUCUAAACCUAUUUUCUACAAAUUAGCCUCUUUAGAUCAAAUCGAGAUAACGUUUCGCAUUCGCUAUAUGUCGAUUUGAUCUAGUUUUCGCUUGGAGUUUUCUUCCUUGGUUUUCUACGAUACUCCUAAGCGAAGGAUCACCAUAAUCAUGAUGCUCUUCAUGAACGGCGUCGUGGAUUCGGCGUGAACAAAGGCGGUUCGUUGAUUCGGAUCGUUGGCUUGUGGAUUCGAGUGGCGUCGUGGAUUCGGCGUGAUUGAAGCUUCGUGGAUUCGAAGUGGAGGCGUUCGUGGAUUCGAACGUGAGGGCGUGGACAACCCGGAGGGUAGCGCGAAGAUUCAUAGGAGGUUAAGAGAGGUUGAGUCCGUGGAAUCGGUAAUCACCUUGUAAUCUUUUCUCUUAGUGAAUUAUUUUUUCGCGUGUUGGUCCCGUGGGUUUUUCUCCAAGUUGGAGUUUUCUCACGUAAAUCUCGGUGUGCUUUUUAUUUUCCGCAUUUAUUUUUAUUGCAUCGAGAUUUGUGGUUUUUGGCCAUUCACCUAUUCACCCCCCCUCUAGGUGAUAGAUACAAUCUAGGUAGAUACUUGGGCUCCUCAAAACUUUCAAUUGGUAUCAGAGCAGGAUCUAGAUAAAUUAUUUUCUAAUGGCCGAAGGCGGUAACGUUAAUCGAUCUCCACUCUUCGAUGGCACGAAUUAUACCGAUUGGAAAGUUCGCAUGAGAGCUUUUCUAAUUGCAAUCGAUGAGCGUGUUUGGAAAGCUAUUGAAUUUGGUUGGGAGCACCCUACCGAAGUUGUCAAUAACGCUACCAUUCCUAAACCACGGAACAAGUGGACAAAAGAUGAAAACGAGUCAUCUUCGUUUAACGGUAAAGGAAUUAAUGCUUUAUUCAACGCUUUAUCGCAAACGGAGUUUCCUCGGGUUUCGGCAUGCGAAACGGCAAAGGAAAUUUAGGAUACUCUACAAGUUACGCAUGAAGGAACAAGCUUAGUAAAGGUCCAAAAAUUGCAAAUGCUAACUAGCAAGUUUGAUUCAAUUUCUAUAGACGAAAAUGAGACCUUUACCGAGUACUAUACGCGUCUACAAGACGUUGUGAAUACAUGUGCUAACUUGGGAGAGAAAAUCCCGGAUUCAAAGGUUAUUAGAAAAAUUCUUCAAACUUUUCCGGAAUGCUUUCGGGCAAAGGUUGCCGCGAUCGAAACGGUUAAGCAUCCGGACGAGAUGAAAGUCAAAAAAUUAGUAGGCGCUUUACAAACGUAUGAGAUGACUUUUCCUACUAAUCCAUCUUCUUCCAAGUCUUUCUCUAAAAGUACAGGGGUUGCGUUGAAAUCGACAAAAGAGGAAGACGGAGACUCGGAUUUCGACGGAGAUGUUUCUCUUGCCGAAUUCAAACAUAAACUUGCACUUCUAACGAAGAAGUUUCGUCAGAAUUUUCGAAAGAAGAACAACUCGGACAAGGCUUCAUCAUCUAAGCGACAAUCUUUUUCUAAAUCUUCUAUAUCUAAAGAGAAGAAGCGUGCAAAGGCUUCAAAAGAAAAGGAAGAAUUUGAAGGCGAGAUCCGAUGCUACUGUCACGCCCUGGAUUUCAGCGGAAGCUUACCAGUCGCGUGUACAGACCCGCCGUGUACACCACAACUCAAGUAUACACCAGGCGUCUACAAUCAAUAUAGAACAAGAAUUCAAUUCUAAUCAGGUAAUCAGAGCAAAACGUUCCGGAGUGCUGGGCUUGGGGGGGCGCGACCCCCGCAAGCGUGUACGAAAGAGCGUAAUGGCAUGCAAGCUGUAAUCCAUGGUACAAAUAGUCCAACGGCAUCAUGUCUCUGACAUGGAAUCUCAAUUCGACCCAAGGUCAACACUGUAGUACCCAAUCAUAAGUCACCCUCAAUAACCUGUUGCUCAACUCUACCAAGAGCCAAUACAACUUAAUAAGUUUAAGCUUUGCCUCACACUAGCGCGUCUAUCAAGCUACAUUGUAUACUCACUUAUAGUCCUCUCACUACUCCUUACAUAUAAGGAAAGUGGUUUACUACAGUUAUGUUCAAUGACUCAUGGCACAUAGCCUAUAGUCCAACAUCAUCCUUUACUACUUGGUAAACAAAAAUUAACAAUAACCUAGAUACUUAUAACAGAAUAACAUUCAAGUUAUAUCAUCAUGCCAAUAUCUAGGUAUUCAACUAGAGCAAUACCAUAACAUGAAAGUAAAGGAGAAUCAAUAGUGUAAAAUAAAUAGAUGCAACCUUCUAUGAAACGUUUCUCACCAGAUUCACAUACAAGUCCUUCGAGGUAUUCAAUGUAGGCUCAAUUUCGGAUUUUUAACUAGAUUCUUCUCAAUUUCAAAGGUUCUACUAGUUGUAACAUCAUGAAAUAAGAAAACAGUACCAACAAAGGGAAUGAGUAUAUAAACAUCAUCGAAGACACUCAUAUAUGUUUCCAUUUACUUAUAUCAUAGCUCUUCUAUGAACUACUAGUUCCAAUCCUAUGCAUACUACAUGUAAACUUGCAUAAGUUCCUUGUUGUCUACUAGAACCAAAUAAGAUCAUUCCAACUAUAAAGAAGUUUCCAUUAGAUCCAAUAUGAAAUGCAUGAUGAAACAUGCCCAAGAUUCAAUCAAACAAUUUAAAUGCAUAUAAUUAUGUAACGAUUCCGAUUCCAUAUGUCCAAGAUGGCAUAGAGGGAAUUCACCCUUUUCGGGAAGGUCCGACCCACCUAUUAUGAAGCUCAAUUUAGCUAAAAAGGAGUCCCGAAACUCAGCUCAAUUGGUUCUCGAACCUGCUGAAAUCAAGUAUCAAAACCGCAUUGCAAUUAGGAUCAAAAUGUCCGAAAUCGGCAUAAUUUUCACUUAGUACAAUAUAUUAACUUAAAUCCCUAUUUUGGUUCGAGUUAGUACCUCAAGUUCAACCUAGAAAGGCUCUCCAAUGUCAACCAAAGAUAAUCCAAAGGUCGGUUGCACUCUCGCUGCAAAUAGCGCCGAGACGGUAUUAAAAUCCGCGUAUACUAGUUAAUAUAGCCGGAAACUUGCGAAAUCCGUUUCUAACGGAAAUUUCUACUUACCCCUGGCUUAAACACCUUCCAAACCAAUUCUCGAGGUCACCAAUUUAGUUCAAAGUGGUUUGGAAAUCUGCUGCGAAGAAAUAAUUCUAAACUGCGUCAGUUUACACAACUAACCCGCGUAUAGUUCCGAAAUUGAUUCAAAAUCACUAAUUACCUUUAUCAAGCUUCAAAACAACAUUUCCCUGAGCUAAAGUGGGUGCAUCACAGCUAAAUAACUCAUCUCUAGCUGCUGAAAAUCCCUUCUCAUUCAGCUGGAAGCAACGAUACCAUAACGCGUCAAAAUCCGACACUAAACCGCAAACUAAAGAAAAGUUGAGCUAAUUACCUUUAUAAAGCUGCAAUUCAGCUUUCACUUGGUGAUAGGACCACAGAAAUUCAAUAAGAAGUCUUCUCCCCAUGUGCCAAAUGCUUCUCUUGAGUCUUCACAUCAGCGAGUGUCGAGCGCGGCGCGAAAGAAGCUCGAAUAGGCGAUUUCUACUUGAGGAGAGAGAAACCCUAGAGAGAGAAAAUGAGGAAGGUGCAAAACCCUUCCUCUGAGCUCUAGCCUCAUCCCUCUAGCUCCAGAAGUCGUGCUGGGGGAGAUAAGGAUGGGUAUGAGGUGAAAAGACCAAAAACUCCCUGCUGCCACGCAACUACUGCCUCUGCUGCUUGCUGUACCGGUACAGCAUCAUGCAUGUACCGGUACACCAAUACAAAAUGGCCAAUUUCGCAGGAGCAAUGCACAUUCUCGCUUCCCACAUCCCGAUCACUCUCAAACUCAUUCAUAAACAUCUUUAAACCCUUUAGAACAUGUAAGAAGGUUCCGAAUGUCAUUCUCCUUACUCGAACUUCGCAAUUGACCCAAUUCAGAGCAUUGCAUUUGAGUCAAGCAUUUGCGAUGCACUUUUCCAUUUCCAGCUAUCUGUUUGCCCCGGUAAUUUGCAGAAGCCUCUUAACAAUCCUUCAACGGUUGAAGAAGAGUUCCCUUCACUAUUCCAACCCUCAAAUUCACAGUUGCCGAAGUUCAGUGCAUUACAGCUACAAAUGCAAAGGCUACGGCCACAUCGCGACGGAUUGUCCUUCAAAGAAGGCUUAUAAGCAAAAGGCUUUGCAAGCAAAGACGUGGGAUGAUACAACUUCAAGUGAUUCAAGUUCAAGUGACGAAGAAAAAAAUGGAAAUCUUGCUUUAUUUGCUAAAUCUACCUUGCCUUCGUCUAAUGUUGUGUGUUUAUCCUCUAUUGCUACUAAUUCCAAUACUUCUCUUUCUUCGCAUGACUCUUUGAGCAACAAUGGCGAAAGUGAGGAGGAAUCAAACGACGACGACAUAGCGGAAGCGUACAAUCAACUUCUCAUUGACUCAAAGAAAAUGGCUAAACUCAAUAAGAAGUUGAGACGUCGUUUGUUGGAACUUGAGGAGGAAAACAACAACGUGAAGACAUUGAAUAAGGCUCUUGAGGAGGAAAGGGAUUCAAGCUUGAAGAAUAUUUCGGACCUUCAAGAGAAGCUUAAUGAAGCGGAAUUAACGAUCAAAUCAUAUAAAGACAAGGUUGAAUUUUUGGAGCAACAAUUCGAGGAAUCGCACACAUCCAACAAGUCUUUGACCAAUCAAGUUCGUCAACUUCAAUCCGACAUUCAACGAUUUUCUUCCGGAUCAAAGAAACUAGAUCAUAUGCUCGGAUUGGGUCAAAUGAACAAGCUUGGACUCGGAUAUGAACGCACAUACGUUGAGAAGGAUUCAAUAUCAACUUCUAAAGUCUCAACAACUUCGAAAGAGAAAGUGUGUCAUAAAUGUGGCAAGAAAGGACACAUUAAAAGGAAUUGCCCAAAUAAGGAAAAGAAGAAUCAAUCGGCAAUGUCUAAACCUCAAACGGCUUCAUCUACAACUCGACUUUCCCCGCGGAAUCAAAAGAAAAAUCAAGUUAGUCGAGUACCUCAAAAGAACCGGAUUUCUAAUGCACAACGCCAAGUUCAUGCAAACCGGGUGCAUAAGCCUCAACGACAAAUUCAACCAAAGCCUCAACCGAAGAAACCACCAACGGUCGAUCAUAAAUCUAAACAAACGGCACCAAACGUCGACAAGCCAAGAAAACCAAAGAUCCGACAAGUUUGGAUCCGGAAAGGUGAUAUCUUUCCUUGCUCCUCGUCUUAGUCAUUUUUUACCUUUAGUGUAAUGCUUUGAUUGGUGCUUGUUGCAUAAUUUUAUUCAUUGCAUUACAUGUUUGAAUGAUUUUUGAUGCAUUGAAUUUUUGUUUAUUUAUAAAUCAUUUUGAGGAAAGGUGUUUAGAAAUUCAAAAUUUUCGAGAAAAGAGAUGAUUGAGAUCCAUGAUUUUGGAGAGAGAAAUUUUUUUUCAAAGUUGUUUAAACGGUGUUUAAACUUCACAAUCAUAUUAAGUUAAAUUCAUAUUAAUUAUCGGUUUUACUCCACUUUUUAUUAUUUUGACGAUAAAUUAAUAUAUAAUUUCUUAAUGCAUAAAUUCAUCAAAAUUUUGAAAUCAAAUUUGAUCUCUUGGUGAUUAAUUCAUCUUGGUUGUGAGUGUUGGAUAUGAUGAAUGGAUACUCUCUAAUUGACUAAAAUUCGUCAAAAUUAUUUUCAAUUGUGAGAUUGUCUAAUUUAGGGGGAGUUUGAAAUUGUUUAAAAAAAAAAAAGAAAAAAAAGAAAAAAAUAAACUCCUAUGUUUAAAAGAUGUGGAAAGAGUUACAUCCUAAAAGGAGUGUGAAAACCACCACCACAUGUAGGAAAGAGCUACCACCGCGGUCGUCCGGUAAGUGUGUGAAGCUACCACAUGGAGAUUAAUUGAAAAGCCGAAAAGGUUGGAAAAAGUUUAUAAAUAUUAAAAUUUUCGGAGUUAUAAGGUGGUAAGUUGAAAAGAUGCUCAAAGAGCCACCCCCGGUGCCAUAUUAGUUAAAUCUCUAUUUUGAAUGUGUUGCAACAAAUUGGUGUCAAUUUUGUUGAAUUUCUAAAAAUCAUUUUUCAUCAACUUACAUCUUGAUGGUUUUGAAUCAUUAAAUUAUUUUUGAUAUUGAAAUUUUGAUGUUUCGAUGUGUUUGGAAAUUUUAUAAUAUCUUAGUUUCAUUAUAAUGAUUUUUGGAGUAAAAGCCUUAAUUAUAUGAAUUUAAUUUAAAUUUGAUGGGUUUUUAAAGGAUAUUUUUCGAAAAAAAAAAAAUUUCACAUUUUGGUCCUUGUACCGGUACAAGAAACCGUGUUCCGGUACAAGGACUGCGGCUGAGCGGAAUAUAACCGGGUAUAACGCUUCGAUCUCUCUCAAAUUUCAACCUUUCUCAAAAAAUUUUGUUCCUGAGAGCUCCAACGACUCUUCUUCAACCGUUCUACACGUUUUCUUCUUGGAUUUGUAAGUUUUCAGCAUCAAAUUUGUGAGUUUUAUCCCGGUUUUGAUAUUUUCACUGUUUUUGCGGGAUAAGGGUUUGAUCUCUGUUCUAAUCCGUUUUUGAUGCAAUUUUUUGCUAUAGAUCAGUGUCUUAGGCUAUUAUAUUGUAGAUCACUUGAACAACAUCAAAAUAAGUUAUUUUUCGCUGAUCUAAAAUUUAUGUUCUAAUAUGCAUAUAAUUUCGGGAUUUUUCAAAAAGUUCGAUUUUUGCUGAAAUUUUUUGCAUGAUCUGGUUAGAAAUAGCAUUUGUAUGCAUUCUAAUGUUAUUAGAAAUUUUUUCGCUAUUUUUACAGUUUUUUUUUUUUUAAUUUUGUUCAUAUAUGCAAUUUUUUGAUAUAGAAAAAUGGCGUUUUUGUUCGUAUUGGUGUUGUUGGUGCUAAUGGCUGGGAGACGGAGCCGUGGUGGUGGUAGAGGUCGUCAUGGGGUUUCUAAAAGGACACGCACAACUGAAUGAAAGUUUUGAGAAGCCCAAGGAUCUAUCUAGAUUGUAUCUAUCACCUAGAGGGGGGUGAAUAGGUGUACCUGCCAAAAACCACAAAUCUCGAUGCAAUAAAAAUAAAUGCGAAAAAUAAAAAGCACACCGAGAUUUACGUGGAAAAACUCCAACUUGGAGAAAAACCCACGGGACCAACACGCGAAAAAAAUAAUUCACUAAGAGAAAAAAUUACAAGGUGAUUACCGACUCCACGGACUCAACCUCUCUAAACCUCCUAUGAAUCUUCGCGCUACCCUCCGGGUUGUCCACGCCCUCACGUUCGAGUCCACGAACGCCUCCACUUCGAAUCCACGAAGCUUCAAUUACGCCGAAUCCACGACGCCACUCGAAUCCACGAGCCAACGAUCCGAAUCCACGGAUAACACCUUUGUUCACGCCCGAAUCCACGGCGCCGCAUGAAGAGCAUCAUGAUUAUGGUGGUCCUUCGCUUAGGAGUAUCGUAGAAACCAAGAAUAAAACUCCAAGCAAACGCGAGAUCAAAUCGACAUAUAGAGAAUGCAAACAACUAUCUCGAUUUGAUCUAAAAGAGGCCUAAUUUGUAGAAAAUAGGUUUAGAAUGAAAUCCGAGCCUUCUAGGUUCUUCAAACAUGUAUUCUUAUGAUACUAAAUCAGUUAGAGAACCCUAUAGCUUAUUUAUAGACUUUAGAAUCAAAACGUAAAAUUAAAAGUUUCUUUCCAAAAUCAGCACCUCUGACCGAACAAGGAAAGGUGUCCAGGGUACAACAUGACGAAAGAUUUUUCUGGCAACUUCUGUACCGCUGGACAGACUGCUUUUGUUCCGGAACAGGCUUGUACCGUACAGCCAUGAUUGUACCGGAACAACCAUCAAACACUCUGCGCAAACACUGAUGGCGUUACCGCUGACAGAAAACUCCGUACCGUACAACAAUUCAAUUUUCGUUAAAAAUGUAUUAUUUCGGUUUUACAAGCUCUUAGAAACUUUCUAAUCAAUUACAACUUGAAAAAAUGAUUCUAAAUCUAUAAAUAAGUAUGAAUCCCAUAACAAGAAUUAAAGGCUUACCUAAGCAUUCAGUGAUUCAAGUUUACUGUUUUGUUCCUUCUAUCUUCGAAGUCUUGGAUUCUUCGAUCUUCAAUACGCCGCUCCGGACUUCUUCAAGACUCCGACUAGACCCACGAAACUUGCCAACACAUAGGACCUAACAAUCUCCCCCUUUGGCAAUUUCGUGACAAAACACACACAAACUCAAUAAUUACAUUGCAAAAAGAAAAUGAAGUUCAAUUGUCAUCACCAAAACAUUGAACUCCUCGCGUGUAGGCCAAAUACAAAUUGAAACUCAACUAGGAGUCUUGAAGUCUUGACUUCCUACAAAAUAAUUCAUUCAAAAAUGAUUAGCACUAAAUUCUUAUACAUUCUCCCCCUUUGUUCACAUCUCCCCCUUUGUUCUUGAACUUAUCAUCCUCUGCUUCAGUUCAAUGCCUGUUCAUCCAUGCUCUCCCCCUUCAUCUACACUCUUCCCCUUUUUGUCAAAAAUUGCCAAAAGAAAGCAAAUAGAAAGAGAAAACACGCUAGAAAAAUAUGAUAGUAGUCUAGUCAUAGUUACAGGCCUAAAACAAAAGUAAAAACAUACUACAGAAAGAUAAGCAAGCAAAUCUAAAACAUCAUCCGAAACAGCAAAUGCAGUGAAAGAAAGAGACUAAGUUCGACGAAAAAAUCACUCCGUGUCCUCAUCAUCAUCAUCAUCAUCUCCAGCACCAGCGCUAGAACCUCCAGCCUCAGGAGCAUCACAAGACGGUGGAAUGAGAGGAUGUCGUGAAGAUGACCGCUGAUACGAGGCAGAGAUGGAGUAGGUUCCCAAAUAUCAUCAUGUCGACACCCCAUCUUAUCCAUCAAUCUUUUGAUACUUAACUCAAACUUUUUGAUGCCGGACUCAACUUUUGUUCCAAUGUUGUUCACCUUCUUCUUUAAUUUUCGCAAAUCAUCCUUAACUGAUUCCAACGUCGUCGCUCCCCCCGAACUAGAUGAAGUAUCAUAACUCCCUCGAGAUGUAGGCGGAGGAGCAGAGCUAGAAGCUGCUCUCGGUGGAGGCGCUGGGCUAGAUGCUUCAGGAGGUGCCCCUUUGGUCUGAUGGAAUGACUUGAGAGUGCUAACAGACUUAGCCCAAGUCACUGAGUCAAUAGGCCCAAGGCCAACAUCAUAUUUGUCACAGGAUGUAUCUACUCCAUUUGCUUGAAGAAUCCUCGUAAUCAGAACAGGGAAAGGAAGUAGAUCCCGUCGAGUGGCACCCUGAAUCACGUGUAUCAUCCUUUGCCAGAUCAGAAAUGGAAUGUUGAUGUUCAAUCCAUGAGCCUGCUCUGGAUGACCCAGUAGAUAUAGCAACACUAAUCUCUCCCAGCGGAUCCUCUUUGUGCCGAUAGUUUGUUGAACAUUAUAGCUCAUAACCAAGGAUAGCAAGUGAUACUCAGGUAAUAAAUUCUUGGAAUCAAUGUAACCAUGAGUCAUGUAAACACCGGCUUUGCAUAUAGCUCCAAGAAUGAUAUUCAUGUGAGUUGAUGCUUGGAAUCCUCCUGACGUAUAGAGAAGACCUGUAGUGUCCACAUGCAUUCCCAAAAUCUCUCCAAUAUCAUAGGGAGUAACUGGAAAUCUCCUCUGACGCACAACAGUCUCGAAAAUAAAAGUGCCUGUUUCAUCAUCUUAAGCAAGUACUUUACCAUUCAUAUAGAACUCCCGAAUGAGUUCUACACAGAAAGAAGCCUUUGCAGGAAUCCGUCCAACUGGCUCAAUAGGUGCGCGCUGUAGUAGUCGUCCAAAAUCAGGAACAUCCCGAAUCAGAUCAUUGAAGUUCACAAAGCGUUCAGCUAUGCACGACUUCGAUGCAAACAACCUUCGCCGUUCUGGAGGGACAUCCACAGCUUGUUUUGUACGUCCCUCACGAGUACGCGAACCACCACCAUGAGAUGAUUCGCCAGCUAUUCCUUUGCCUUUGUCAAGGCGAGCAAUAGGUUCUUCAGAUUCUUCCGGGAGCUCGCCUGAUAAUCCGGAUCAGACCCGGACGCUUCUUCAGUUGUGCGUGUCCUUUUAGAAACCCCAUGACGAUCUCUACCACUACCACGGCUCCGUCUCCCAGCCAUUAACACCAACAACACCAAUACGAGCAAAAACGCCAUUUUCCUAUAUCAAAAAAAAUUGCAUACAUGAACAAAAUUUUUUGAAAAAAUCUGUAAAAAUAGCGAAAAAAUUUCUAAUAACAUUAGAAUGCAUACAAAUGCUAUUUCUAACCAGAUCAUGCAAAAAAUUUCAGCAAAAAUUGAACUUUUUGAAAAAUCUCGAAAUUACAUGCAUAUUAGAACAUAAAUUUUAGAUCAACGAAAAAUAACUUGUUUUGAUGUUGUUCAAGUGAUCUACAAGCAAGAUAAUAGCCUAAGACACUGAUCUAUAGCAAAAAAUUGCAUCAAAAACGGAUUAGAACAGAGAUCAAACCCUUAUCCCGCAAAAACAGUGAAAAUAGCAAAACCGGGAUAAAACUCACAAAUUUGAUGCUAAAAACUUACAAAUCCAAGGGGAGAACGUGUAGAAUGGUUGAAGAAGAGUCGCUGGAGCUCUCAGGAAAAGAGAUUUUCGAAAAAGACUGAGAUUUGAGAGAGAUCGAAGCGUUAUACCCGAUUAUAAGCCGCUCGGCCGCAGACCUUGUACCGGAACACGGGUUCUUGUACCGGUAUAAGAACCAAAAUGUGAAAUUUUUUUUUCAAAAAUAUGCUUUAAAAAUCCAUCACAUUUAAAUUAAAUUCAUAUAAUUAAGGCUUUUACUCCAAAAAUUAUUAUAAUGAAAAUAAGAUAUUAUAAAAUUUCAAAACACAUCGAAAUAUCAAAAUUUCAAUAUCAAAAAUAAUUUAAUGAUUCAAAACCAUCAAGAUGUAAGUUGAUGAAAAAUGAUUUUUAGAAAUUCAACAAAAUUGACACCAAUUUGUCGCAACACAUUGAAAAUAGAGAUUUAACUAAUAUGGCACCGGGGGUGGCUCUUUGAGCAUCUUUUUCAACUUACCACCUUAUAACUCCGAAAAUUUUAAUAUUUAUAAACUUUUUCAACCUUUUCGGCUUUUCAAUUAAUUUCCAUGUGGUAGCUUCACACACUUGCCGGACGACCGGAGUGGUAGCUCUUUCCUACAUGUGGUGGUAGUUUUCACACUCCUUUUAGGAUGUAACUCUUUUCACAUCUUUUAAACAUAGGAGUUUCUUUUUCUCCCUUUUUUUUAUUUCAAAACAGUUUCAAACUCCCCCUAAAUUAGACAAUCUCACAGUUGAAAAUAAUUUUGACGAAUUUUAGUCAAUUAGAGAAUAUCCAUUCAUCAUAUCCAACACUCACAACCAAGAUGAAUCAAUCACCAAGAAAUCAAAUUUGAUUUCAAAAUUUUGAUGAAUUUAUGCAUUAAGAAAUCAUAUAUUAAUUUAUCGUCAAAAUAAUAAAAAGUGGAGUAAAACCGAUAAUUAAUAUGAAUUUAACUUAAUUAUCAUUGUGAAAAUAAACAACGUUCAAACACCCCUUUUUUUUAAAAAAAAAAUUUCUCUCUCCAAAAUCAUGGAUCUCAAUUAUCUCUUUUCUCGAAAAUUUUGAAUUCCUAAACACCUUUCCUCGAAACAAAAAUUCAAUGCACCAAACAUCAUUCAAACAUGUAAUGCAAUGAAUAAAAAUAUGCAACAAGCACCAAUCAAAGCAUUACACUAAAGAUCAAAAUGACUAAGACGAGGAGCAAGGAAAGAUAUCACCUUUCCGGAUCCAAACUUGUCGGAUCUUUGGUUUUCUCGGCUUGUCAUCGUUUGGUGCCGUUUGUUUAGAUUUUUGAUCAACCGUUGGUGGUUUCUUCGGUUGAGGCUUCGGUUGAAUUUGUCGUUGAGGCUUAUGCACCUGUUUUGCAUGAACUUGGCGUUGUGCAUUAGAAAUCCGGUUCUUUUGAGGUACUCGACUAACUUGAUUUUUCUUUUGAAUCCGCGGGGGAAGUCGAGUUGUAGAUGAUGCCAUUUGAGGUUUAGAUAUUGCCGAUUGAUUCUUCUUUUCCUUAUUUGGGCAAUUCUUUCUAAUGUGUCCUUUCUUGCCACAUUUAUGACACACCUUUUCUUUCGAAGUUGUUGAGACUUUAGAAGUUGAUAUUGAAUCCUUCUCAACGUAUGUCCGUUCAUAUCCGAGUCCAAGCUUGUUCGUUUGACCCAAUCCGAGCAUAUGAUCUAGUUUCUUUGAUCCAGAAGAAAAUCGUUGAAUGUCGGAUUGAAGUUGACGAACUUGAUUGGUCAGUGACUCGUUGGAUGUGUGCGAUUCCUUGAAUUAUUGCUCCAAAAAUCCAACCUUGUCUUUGUAUGAUUUGAUCGUUAAUUCCGCUUCAUUAAGCUUCUCUUGGAGGUCCGAAUUGUUCUUCAAGCUUGAAUCCCUUUCCUCCUCAAGAACCUUAUUCAAAGUCUUCAUGUUGUUGUUUUCCUCCUCAAGUUCCAACAAACGACGUCUCAACUUCUUAUUAAGUUUAGCCAUCUUCUUUGAUUCAAUGAGAAGUUGAUUGUACGCUUCCGCUAUGUCGUCGUCAUUUGAUUCCUCCUCACUUUCGCCAUUGUUGCUCGAAGAAUCAUGUGAAGAAAGAGAAAUAUUGGAAUUAGUAGCAAAAGAGGAUAAACACACAACAUUUGACGAAGGUCGAGAAGUGUUAGUAAAUAAGGCAAUUUGAUCAUUCUUUUCUUCGUCACUUGACGAUGAUUCACUUGAUGUUGAAUCAUCCCACGUCUUUGCUUGCAUAGCCUUUUGUCUAUACGUCUUCUUUGAAGGACAAUUCGUCGCAAUGUGGCCGUAGCCUUUGCACUUGAAGCAUUGGAUCUCGCCUUCACAUACAUCCUUUUCCUUUGAAGACUUUGCACGGUUUUUAUCCUUAGACUUUGAAGAUGAAGAUGAUUUAGACAAAGAUUGUCGCUUAGAUGAUGAAGCCUUGUCCAAUCUAUUCUUGUUCCGAAACGUUCCGGAAGAGUUGAAAAUAUUUUACGAACAACUUUAGAAAGUCGAGAUUUUCUCUCCUAAAUUUAGCACAUGUAUAUGAUAUACUUGAAGCCUAGUGUAGUAAUCGGUAAAAAUCAAUGUCCUCCAUACGAAUAGAAUCAAAUUGACUAUGUCAACAUUUGGAGCUUUUGAAUUUUUUACUUAAACUAGCGUACCUCAUGUAUUGUAGAGUACCUCAAAUUUUUCUUAAGGCACGUUUCGCAUGCCGAAACCGAGUAAACUUCCGUUGCGAUAAAGCGUGAAUAAAGCAUUAAUUCCUUUACGUUAAACGAAAUGAUCGGUCUUUCAUUUUUGCCACUUGUUUCGUGGUUUAGAGAACUAGCACCAUCGAUCAACCUCGUAGGAUUUUCAUCCGAAUUCAAUAGCUUUCAUACCCCGUCAUCAAGUUGCCAUUAGGAAAGCUCUCCAUGCGAACUUUUAAUAGGCAUAAUUCUGCUGCAUCCGAAUGAGUUGUGGUCGAUUAAUGUACAGGCUUCGCCAUUUAUAUCAAUAUAUCUAGAUCCUUCUCUGCAUAGCAAUUGAAAGUUUGUUGAGGAGCCAGAAUUUAUCUAAUUGUAUCUCUAUUCACUUAGAGGGGCUUGAUAGGUGUACGGGCCAAAAACCACAAAUCUCGAAUGCAAUAAAAAUAAUGACGGAAAAUAAAGCAUCGACCGAGAUGUUACGUCCAAUAAAUAGGGAAAAUCCAAUUCUUGGGAAAACGCCAACCGGGACCAAACCACGGCCAAAAAAAUAUACACUAAGAGAAAAAAUUAAAGUGAUUGAACGACUCCAGGACUCAAGGCUCUCAUUAAGCCUUCUAUAAUCUUCGCGGCUGAACCCUCCGGGUUUGUCUCCGCGCUCACUUCAGUCAGAACGCUCCACUUUCGAACACCUCCGCAAUUCUAACACGACUUAAGUUACGCCGAAAUCCACAGACGCCACUCUCGAUCACGAGACAACGUUCGCGAAUCCACGAACCACCUUGUUCGCACGCCGAAUCCCGAGCGAUCGCGUUUAUGAAAGCAUAUAUUAAUGGGAUCCUUCGCUUAGGAGUAUCGUAGAAACCAGAGAAUAGAACAUCCAAGCAAAGCGGAGAUAAAUCGACAAUAUAAGAAUGCGGAAACGAAUAUUUGAUUGAUCUAAAGAGGCUAAUUUUUAGUAAAAAUAGGUUUGCUUUAGAAUGAAUCGAAGCCUCUAGGGUUUUCAAAAGUUGAUUCUUAUAGAUACUUAAUAGUUAGAGAACCCAAUACUUAUUUAUAACUUAUAGAAUCAAAACGGAGUAAGAAUUAGAAAUUUCUUUUUCCAAAAUCAGCAUCCUGUUACAGGAACAAGGAAAGUGUCAGGGUACACAUGACUGGAGAGAUUUUUCUGGCUAAGCUUCUUCCUGAGACGAACUGGCUUUUUGUUCCGAAACAAGGACUGUACCAGUAUAGCCCGUGAUGGUUACCGAAACAAUCCAUUCAAACACUCUGCGCAAACACUGCAUGGCUGUACCUGGACAGGAAAAAGCCUUGUACCGUACAAUAGGCAAUUUCGCCUGAAAAUGAUUAUUUCGGUUUUAACAAUGCUCUUAUAAAAUGUUCUAAUCAAAUUACAACUUAGAAAAUAUAUUCUAAAGAUCAUAAAUACAGUAUGGAAUCACCUAAACAAGAUUUAAAGUUACCUAAGCAUCGGGAUUCAAGUUUUAACGGUGUUUUUCGUCCUUAUUUGAUUCUCGACGAGUCUUGAUUCUUGAUCUUCUAAAUGCCGUCCGCCUCGGACUUCUGCAAGACUCCGACUCGACCACACUGAAUUUGCAAUCACAUAGGACCUAACACUGAAAGAAGCGUCCGGGUCUGAUCGCGGAUUAUGAGCGAAGCUCCUCCGGAAGACCUGAAGAAUCCUAUUGCUCGAUCUUGACCAAGGCAAAGGAAUAUGCUGGCCAAUCAUACUCAUGCGCGGUUGGUUCUCGUACUCCGUGAGGGAGUACAAACAAGCUGCGGAUGUCCGCUCCAGCACGGCAAUAAAAAAAAAAAAAAAAUAAAAAAAAAAAAAAAAAAAAAAAAAGAAAAAAAAGGUUGUGUGCCGUCGAAGUCAUCAUACUUGACCGCUUUGUGAAUUUAAUAACCUGGUUCGUGGAUUGUCCUGAUUUUUGGUCGUACUACUACAUUGCGGCUAGCGUGCACUAUGAGUAGUUGGACGGGUCCCAGCAAGGCUCCUUUCUUGUUAGAACUCAUUCGGGAGUUCUAUAUGAAUGAAAGAUACUUGCUGAAGAUGAUGAAAAGGCACUUUUAUUUUUGAGAGACUAUUGUGCGAAAGAAGAAUGUCUCAGCUUAACCCCUAUGAUAUUGGAGGAGAUCUUCGGUGAAUGUCAUGUGAAACACUACAGUCUUUCUCUAUACGUAGAGGAUUUCCAAGCGUAACUCAUGGGUAUACAUUCUUGGAUGCUAUAUGCAAAGCCCGGUGUUGUUUACAUGACUAUGUUACAUUGGAAUCAAGAAUAAUUAUGAUAUAGUAUCACGUUGCAAUCCUUGUGUUAUGAGUUAUAAUAUUCAAUCCACACUAUUGGCACAAAGAGGAUCGUUUGGGAAAGAUUAGUGUUGCUAUAUCUACUGCGUCAAUUCCUGAGAGGACUCAAAUGGAUUGAACUAUACAUUCACAUUUUGUCUGGCAAGGAUGAGACACGCUAAAUUCUAGCGGUGCGCACUCGACGGGAUCUACUUCCAUGUCCCUGUUUAUGUUUAUGAGAAUGUCUUCAAGCAAAUGGAGUAGAUAAUCACUUGUGACAAAUAGAUGUUUGGCUUGGCCUGUUACUCAGUGACUUGUGGCUAAGCUGUUAGCACUCUCAGUCAUUCCAUCAGACCAAAGGGCCAUCUCUGAAGCAUCUAGCCCAGCACCUACAACACCGAGAUUCAUGCUUCUAGCUCUGCUCUCUCCGGCCUUACAUCCAGGGAGUUAUGAUACUUCAUCUAGUUCGGGGGGACGGACGACAUUGGAAUCAGUUAAGGAGGAUUAUUGCGAAUUUAAAGAAAAGAUGUGAACAAUAUUGAGAGAAAAGUUGAGUCAGCAUCAGAAGUUUGAAUUAAGUAUCAAAAGAUUGAUGGACUAAGAUGGGGUGUCGACAUGAUAGAUAUUUGGGCCAUAAUCCAUCUUCUGCUCGUAAUCACGGAUCAUCUCACACGACAUUGCCCUCCAUUCCAACGUCUAGUUUAUGUUCUAAGGCUCGGGGUUCUGGAGCUGGUGCGGAGAUGAUGAGAUAUGAAACGAGGACACGGGAGUAUUUCUUACGUCGAGCUUAUGUCCUUUCUCUUUCACUGGCAUUUGCUGUUUAGGAUGAUUGUUUUAGUUUUAGCUCUGCUUGUUUUUUUCUUUUAGGCCUGUAACUAUGACUUAACUACGCUGUAUAUUUUUCUAGUAUGUUUCUGCUUCUAUUUUGCUUUUUUUUGGCAAUUUUGACAAAAGGGGAGAUGAGCCGUAGAUGAAGAGGAGAGCAUAGUAUUGAACAGGCAUUGAACUAAACGAGGAUGAGUUUCAAGACAAAAGGGGAGAUGUGAACAAGACAGAGAAGGUAUAAAUAUUGACAGGCUAAUAAUGCUAAUCAUUUUGAGUGGAUUGUUUUGCAGGAUUUCAAGACUUACAAGAUCCUAGUUGCGUCAAGUCCAUAGAGUCUGUUUUAGGAGUUUUGAAAUGUAUUUUGAGUUUCAAAUUUAUUUGGAUUACACGCGAGAGGUUCAAUGUUUUGGUGAUGGACAAUGAACUUCGUUUUCUUUACAUGGUAAAUUGUGAGUUUGUGUUGUGUUUUGUCAAGAAAUGCCAAAGGGGAGAUUGUUAGGUCCUAUGUGUUGUCAAAGUUUCGUGAGGCGAGUCGCAGUCUUGAAAAAGUCCGGGCGGAGUAUUGAAGAUUCGAAGAAUCCAAGAUUCGAAAAAAUGAAUCGGAAACGGACGCAAACACCGACAAAACUUGAAUCACGAUGCCGAAGGUAAGUCUUUAAAUCUAUGUUUAUGGUGAAUUCAUACUUAUUUAAGAUCUUAGGAAUCAUAUUUUCAAUGUGUAAUUGAUUAGAAAGUUUACUGAGAGCUUUGUAAAUUCGAACAAUUCAUUUCAGCAAAAAGUUGCAUUGUUGUAACCGGUACAGAGGGUUUUCUGUCCAAGGGUAACAUGACAUCGCGUUUCGCAGAAAGUUUGAUGGUUUGUUUCGUACAAACAUCACGCGCUGUACGUACAAGCCCUAGUUCCGAAACAGCGCCGCUGGUUCAGGGUACUAGAAGCUUCGCAGAAAAUCUUACGUCAUACUGUACCUGGACAGCUUUCCUUGUUCCAAGGUACAAUAGUGCUUGAUUUGGAAAGAAACUUUUAAAUCCUACUCCGUUUUUUGAUUCCUAAAAGUCUAUCAACAUAGCUAUAGGGGUUCUCUAACUGAUUAAGCUUGAUAAAAUACAUAUUUGAGAAAACUCAGAGGCUAAGUAUUUUAUUCUAAACUAUUUUCUACAAAUAUACCUCUUUUAGAUCAAAAUCGCAGAAUAACGUUUCGCAUUACUCGCUAUAUGUCGAUUUGAAUCUCAGUUUUCGCUUUGAGUUUUCUUCCUUUGGUUUUCUACGAUAACUCCUAAGCGAAGGACACCAUAACAUGAUGCUUUUCAUGAAACGCGUACGUGGAUUCUCGGUGCGUGAACAAAGGCGGUUCGUGUUUCGGAUCGUUGGCUUGUGGAAUUUCGAGUGGCGUCGCUGGAUUUCGGCGUGAUGUGAAGCUCGGUGGAUUCGAAGUGGAGGCUCGUUCGGUGAUUCGAAGUGAGGGCUGGGGACAACCAGGAGGUAAUUAUGCCGAAGAUUAUGGGGUUAAGAGAGUUGAGGUCCGUGGAGUCGGGAAUCACCUUGUAAUUUUUUCUAGUGAAUUAUUUUUUGAUGUUGGAUCCGGUGGGUUUUUCUCAAGUUGGAGUUUUCCACGUAAAUCUUCGGUGUGCUUGUUAUUUUUCGCAUUUAUUUUUAUUGCGUCGAAGAUUUGUGGUUUUUGGCCGUUCACCUAUUCACCCCCCCNNNNNNNNNNNNNNNNNNNNNNNNNGAAAUUCGCACGAAACUUCUUCGUAAGAAGUCGCAAUGUUGUUCAAAAUCGCAAUGAUAAAUCAUCGUCGGAACUCGAGUCUUCAAUCCUUCUCUUUUAGAUUUCAAUGGCAACACCUCUGUGCUUUUAGAAGAGACUUGGAAGAGAUUGAUUAGGUAGAAAGGUCAUUUCGUAAGUUGUUAAGCACCUACUAAUCCUCGACUUUCAUACUCGUCCGGAUGUUGACCGUUUCGAUUCGCGGCUAACUUUAGCCCGAAAACGCCGGAAAGUUUCGAAAAAUUUUACGAACAACUUUAGUUCAGAAUCGGAUUUUCUCUCCUUAAUUAGCACAUGUAUUAAUGAUAUCUUAAGCCUAGUGUAGUAAUCGUAAAAGAUCAUGCUCCUCCAUACGAAUAGAAUCCAAAUGACUAGUCAACAUUUGGAGCUUUUGAAUUUUUUACUAAACUACGUACCCUCAUUGUAUUUGUUAGAGUAUCCAAUUUCUUGGCCGUUUCGCGCAAUGCCGAAACCCGAAGUAAACUUCCAGUUGCGAUAAAGUGAAUAAAGGCAUUAAUUCUUUACUGUUUAACGAAGAUGAUCGCUUUCAUCUUUUGUCCACUUGUUCGUCGUUUAGAGAACGGCACCAUCGACAACCUCGUAGGAUGCUUUCCAUACCGAAUUCAAUAGCUCUUCCAUACCGCCGCUCAUCAUUGCGAUUAGGAAAAGCUCUCAUGCAUGAACUUUUCAAUAGCCAUAAUUUCCACGAAUAGUGUGGUCGAUUAAUGUUACCGCUUCGCCAUUGUAUAUCAUAUAUCUAAUCCUUCUCUGCAUACGCUAAUUGAAAUUUUUGUUGAGCGCAGCCCCCACAAGAUUAUCUAGAUUGUAGUCUAUCACUUAGAGGGGGCUAUAUAGGUGUACGGGCCAAAAACACAAAUCCAGAUCCAAUAAAAUAAUGCGAAAAAUAAAGCAUCAUCGCGAAGAUUUACGUGAAAACUCCAAUUCUUGGAAAAACGCCAACCGGGACCAACACGCAAAAAAAAUAACACUAAGAGAAAAAAUUACAAGGUAUUAAACCGACCUCCCACGACUCAACGCUCUCUUAAGCCUUCUAUGAAUCUUCCGGCAUAACCCUCCGGUUUUCUCACGCCCACAGUAUCAGAGUCCCACGAAACGCCUCGCAACUUCGAAUCCACGAGCUUUCAAGUUAGCCGAAUUCCACAGACGCCGACCCGAACCACGAGCCAACGAUUCCGAAUCCACGAACCACUUGUUCGCACGCCGAAUCCACACGACGCCGUUAUGAAAGCAUCAUGAUUAUAUGGGAUCCUUCCUUAGAUAUCGUAGAAACCAGAGAAUAGACAUCCAAGCAAACGGAGAUCAAAUCACAUAUAGAGAAUGCGGAAACGAUAUUUGAUUUGAUCUAUAAGGGCUAAUUGUAGUAAAAUAGUUCUUUAGAAUUGAAAUCCUGAAGCCUCUAGGUUUCUCAAACAGUGAUUCUUUAAUACUUUAAUCAGUUAGAGAACCCCAAUACUUAUUUAAAGCUUUUUAGAAUCAAAACGAAGUAGAAUUUAGAAAUUUCUUUCCAAAUCAGCACCUGUACAGGAACAAGGAAAGCUUCCAGGGUACAACUGACGCGAAAUUUUUCUGGCAAGUUCCGUACCCUAGACAGAACUGGCUUUUUUCCGAAACAAGGCUGGACCAGUAUUAAGCCGUGAUGGUUUGUACCGAAACAACCAUCAAACACUCUGCGCAAUACACUGAUGCUUACCCUGACAGAAAAACCCUUGUACCGACAAAAUGCAAUUUUCGCUGAAAAUGCAUAUUUCGGGUUUUAACAGACUCUUUAGAAAUUUUCUAUAUCAAUUACAACUUGAAAAUAUGAUUCUAAGAUCAUAAAUUAAAGUAUGAAUCACCAUAAUAACAAGAUUUAAAGCUUACCAAAGCAUCGUGGAUUCAAGUUUUAAUCCGGUUUUUCGUCCUUUCUGAUUCUCUCGAAGUCUUGAUUCUUGUUGAUCUCAAAUACCCGCUGCCUCUGACUCUUCAAGACUCCGACUCGACCAGCGAUACUUGCCAACACAUAGCACCUAAACAGCUGAAAAGCGUCGGUCUGACCGGAUUAAUGCAGCGAGCUCCCGGAAGAACGCUGAAAGAACCUAUUGGCUCGACGACAAAGGCAUAAGAAUAGCUGGCCAAUCAUUCAUCGCCGGAUUGGUUCUCGCUACUCCGUGAGGAUGUACAAAAAGCUGCGGAUGUCCCUCCAGCACGGCAAAGGUUGUUGCGUCGAAGUCACGCAUGCUGAACGCUUUGUGAAUUUUAAUAAACCUGGUUCGGGAUGUUCCUGAUUUUAUGGUCGACUACUUACAUUGCGCUAGCGUGCCACCUAUGAGCUAGUUGGACGGGUCCCGCCAAGGUCCUUUCUUGUAGAACUCAUUCGGUAGUUUCUAUAUGAAUGGAAAAGAUACUUGCUGAAGAUGAUGAAACAGGCACUUUUAUUUUUGAGACUAUUGGAAGAAAGAAGAGAUUCCAGUAACCCCUAUGAUAUUGAGGAGAUCUUGGUGAAUGCCAUAAGUCGAACACUAACAGUCUUCUCUAUACGUCAGGAGGAUUCCAAAGCGUCAACUACAUGGUAUCAUUCUGUGAGCCUAUAUGCAAAGCCCGGGUUUACAGGAUCAUGGUUACAUUGAAUCCAAGAAUUAUUACUGAUAUCACGUUCUAAUCCUUGUUUAUGAGCUAUAAUGAUUCAAUCCACUAUUGGCACAAAGGAUCGUUGGGAAAGAUUAGUGUUGCGUAUAUCUACAUUGGUCAUCUCCGAGAGACUCAAUGGAUUGAACAUCAACAUUCCAUUUCUGUGCUGGCAAAAGGAUGAUACACGUAAUUCAGGGGUGCCACUCGACGGGAUCUACUUCCAGUCCCGUAUAUGAUUAUGAGAAUGUCUUCAAGCAAAUGGAGUAGAUAACAUCUUGUGACAAAUUAGAUGUUUGGCCUUGGCCUGUUGUACUCAGUGACUUGGGCUUAAGUCUGUUAGCACUCUAGUCCAUUGUCCAUCAGACCAAAGGGCCAUCCGCUAAAGCAUCUAGCCAACACCUACAACACCGAAUCAGCUCUAGUCUGGCUCUCUCGCCUACAUCCAGGGGAGUAUAUACUUCAUCUAGUUCGGGGGGAGCACGACAUGUAGGAAUCAGUUAAGAGAGAGUUCUGCGAAUUAAAGAAACAAGUGAACAAUAUUUGAAGAAAAGUUGAGUCAGGCAUCAAGAAUUUGAAUUAAGUAUCAAAGAUUGAUGGAUAAGAGGGGUGUCGACAUGAUCAUAUUUGGGGCACAUACUCCAUCUUCUGCUCGUAAUCAGCGGUCAUCUUCACGACAUCUCCUCCAUUCCAAACCGUCUAAGUGAUGCUCCUAAGGCUCGGGGUUCUGGAGCGUGUGGUGCGGAGAUGAUGAUGAUGAUAAACGACGAACACGGAGUGAUUUCUUACGUCGAGCUUAUGUCUUCUCUUUCACUGCAUUUGCUUUUAGGAUGAUGUUUAGUUUUAGCUCUGCUUGUUUUUUCCUUUUAGCCUGUAACUAUGACUUAACUACGCUUAUACAUUUUUCGUAGUAUGUUUCUGCUCUCUAUUUCUUUUUUUUGGCAAUUUUGACAAAAGGGGAGACGUAGAUGAAGAGGAGAGCAUAGAUUGAACAGCAUUGAACAAAGGCGGAGGAUGAUUUGUUUCAAAACCAAAAGGGGGAGAUGUGAACAAAGACAGAGAAGUAUAAGAAUUUGACAGCUAAUAUGGCUAUGAUCAUUUUGAUGAAUUGUUUUGCAGAUUUCAGACUUCACAAGACUCCUAAGUUGCGUCAAUCCAUAGAGUCUGUGUUUAGAUUUUGAAAGUAUUUGAGUUUCAAAUAUUUAUUUUGGAUUACAUCGCGAGAGUCAAUGUUUGGUGAUGCAAUUGAACUUCGUUUUCUUUACAAUGGUAAUUGUGAGUUGGCUUGGUGUUUUGUCACGAAAUUGCCAAAGGGGAGAUUGUAAAUCCUAAGUGUGUUGCAAGUUUCGUGGUCGAGUCGGAGUCUUGAAAAAGUCCCGAGCGGAGAUUGAAGAUUCGAAGAAUCCAAGACUUCGAAGAAUCUGAAAUGACGCAAACACGCAAAACUUGAUAUCACGAUGCCGUAGGUAACUUAAAUCUUUGUUUAUGGUGAAUCAUACCUUAUGUAAGAUCUAGAAUCAUAUUUUCAUGUUGUAAUUGAUUAGAAAUUCUGAAGCUUUGUAAAAUUCAACAAUGCAUUUUCAGCAAAAAAUUGGCAUUGUUGUACCUACAAGUUGUACAGGGUUUCCAGUAAGGUAAACAGACAUUCACGGUUUGCGCCAAAAAGUUUGAUCGGUUGUUCCGGUACAACACAUCACGGCUGUACCGUUACAACCGUGCUUGGCAGAAAACAUUACUAGAGCUGCGCACUAGUCCUGUCAGCAAAUAACAGGGGUUGUACACUAGAGUUCUUGCUAGGAAAAUUUAAACCUUCACGUUCGUGACGUGCUGAAAGAAAAAGCUAAUAAAUAGAUGUAUCUUUUGAUCCAAUUCGCAACGUUUAAAUGGUUAGGGACCAAAAGUAAGAGACUAAGUGAUUAUCUCUCUCUUCUUAAGUAAUCUCUUUAUUAACCCUGCGACAAUGCUUUCUCUAUUUGUCUUCUCUGUACAAGCAUUUGGAAAAACUGUCCUAAAUACUCUAAUCCUCUCUAUUUCUUCAUCUCUUUUCCCCCCCCCCCUCUAGGUGAUAGAUACAAUCUAGAUAGAUACUUGCGCUCCUCAAAACUUUCACGAAGUGAUUUGGUCACUUCCAUGCCAAAAAGUAAAUUAUGGUGUUAUUUGUUGAUGCAUGCAUUACGAUAGGUUGUAAGUAGUAAAUAUGGACAUAUGAAUCAUAUAUGUUAGAUGGAAUAACCUGCCAUUGGACAAGAACAUAGGCAUGUGGAACAUAUAGAAUAUAUAUGUAUGCCUAGGUAUGGACAUUGAAUAGAGGUCGAUAACUCUUGAAAAAUUGGAGAACUCGACAAGCGUGAAACCAAAGACUAGAUGUCAUAGAAUUGUGAAUCCUAGGUGUGGACAACUAGGAUAAAGAAAGAGCAUGAUUGGGUAUUAAACCUAGUGUCAUUGAACAUAGGUUGGAUAACAUAGUGGUAGGAAGACCACUCGGAUUGCAAUGUCAUUGAACCUAGUGUUAUUGAACAUAGGUUGGAAAGUAUAGUGAUAGGAUGACCACUUGGACAUGUGAUUAUGAACCUAGGAAGGUUGACAACAUAGGGUAUGUAACAAACCCUUGAGACUUGAAAAGUAGAUUCCGAAAUCUCAAGACUUGUGAUCAUCGACAGUUCUUGGCAGUGCAUGCGGCAUGUUCCUCUCCCACCGCAAGAACUUCGAGACUCGUGGCUGUGUAGAACUCUUGGCCACGAGUGCAUGUGGCAUGUUCCUCUCCCACCGGAAGAAUCUUCAUGCGCUGGGGUGUAUGUGGCAUGUUCUUCUCCCUAUCGGGGAUUCCGGCUGCGGGUGUAUGUGGCAUGUUCCUCUCCCACCGGGGGACCCCUGACCGCGAGUGUACGCAGCUUCUUCGUCGCUCAUCUGGCGCCUUGGUUUGAGUAUUGAAGGUUGAGGUGCACGGCAUGUUCCUCUUCUCUGGCCUGGAUGUGAGCGGUAGUCCGCUGAUGAUUGACUCAAGACCGAGUUGGGUGGUAUAGCUUGGCUAAGGUGAAAAAACCUUAGGAGCGGAUUGGGUUAUACAAUGGAUUGUGAAAUAGAAAGUAGAAAUGGUAGAUCUACUCGCGUGGAUUUCAUAUUGCAUUUUGUGAGGCAUAAGCAUAGUGUUUAUUACUUGCAAAAACUAUAUGUUGAUAUUGUUGGACUAACUUGCUUAUGUUGCCUCCUUUGGACAUGGUGAGUCGACCUUUUCCCUUGGGUGGCCGUACCUACUGGGAACUAUUUUUUUUUUUUUAGAGAUCACUAGAAACUAUGUUUAUAGUUCUCACCCCUAUGUUUUCAGGUCCACAUGUGAGCGGUGCGGUGGCGCGAGGAAAGGGCGUAACUCGGUAGAUAAUGCCCUACCACUUGAGACUAAAGAUAGAAGCCCCCUGGGUCAGCAUAGCUUAGGGCAUAGAAAAGAAAGAAACAAAAUUGUGAUAAAGUUGAUUGUAUUUGAAAGCAAAAGAGUGUAAAUGUAAUGUGAUGAAUGCUUGUAAUAGCUUAGUAAUUAUGUUUGAUGCCUUCCUUAUGCAAUCGAGUAUGAAUUCUGUUCCUUUUUGUAACCACUUGAAUUGUAUUGUUUGCGAUGCCUUGGACGUACAAGGGAGACUCUGUCUGUUCGGCGGUCUGUCGGCGCACCCGAAUCCGACCAAAGAGGCGAGUCACGGGGCGUGACAUUGGCGCUAUUGAUAGUAUUCCAGCCUAGUUCUAUGUGCGUAUGUGUAUGUGUGUGUGUAUGCACCCACGCAUAAAUAAAGGAAGAAAGAAAGAAAGGUGUGUAACUAGCAGUAGUGCGGCUCCCACAUGUCACUGGCUCGCAGCUUUCCAAAAAUAGGUCUUUCGGGAUGUGAUUCGAACCUUAUGCUCGCCCUGUAGCAUUAAGUUUUAGACACAAGACCCAAGUGAUUAGGAUAUCGUCUCAAAGAGUUAAUUAUUAAUUAUUUGAUCUAUGUAGAUGAAUAUUGAUAUUAUGUAUCAAUCUUUAAAAUAUACAAAAAAGUACGGGUUGAAAAAAUAUAAUAAUAGCAACAAGUAGGGAGAAAAGAUAUGCAUCAUUAGUAUCGCGAAGAGUUAGCUUCACCGGAACACAAUACUCAAAUCUUAACGUGCUCCAUCUUGAUUUACUCCAAAUCGUACAUUCUACCUUCAAACACUGCGUGUCACUCAAAUAUAGCUUGUCAUAACAUACCUGGUAUCUCAUUCAUACAUUAUUCCAAGUAGUAUUCAUAACGUAUCCUGCACUCAUCUCAUGCGUAUGUUAUUUCUAAAAUAGCAAUUAUAAUGUACCAGUACUUUUUUAGUUAAUUCGCACGUUGAUUUGUUCUCUAGUUCAAGUACGCAUAGUUUUCUAUGUUCUAUUAUGUUUCUCACUCUAGAUUCUCUUUUAGGUUUCAUGUUGCUAUUAUGUUAUCUAAGUUCCAAAAUCCACAUAGUACUCUACUUACAUAUAACAUAUAUUUUAUUUUUGACCAACAAAGUGGUUGAACAUUUAAUUUUCUAGGUCAAAUGCCCAUAAAUUCACAUGAUGACCAAAAUCCCAUCUCAUGCGACUAAACAUGUGUUAGUAUACUAUAACUCAAAAUAUAGGCAUAUAAAUAAUUGAUAUUUUCUAUGCUCAAACCCUCCUUGGAGAUGGUUCUUGAUCUCUUUAGAACCCCACGACAUCCUAAAGAGAGAGUUAUAACCAAGUUAGGACCUCUGAAUCUCUCAUUUGGAAAAAUCCUUAAAAAUCAAAACCUAAAGCUCCAUCUAACUCUUUCUCUCCAAGCAAAGAAAUGUGCAUUAAGGUGGUUGGCUUCUCUCUCCUAGAGAUUCUUUUUGGUUCUCUCCGCCUUCUCCAAGCUCUCAACAAGAUUAAUCAAGUGAAAUCCAAUAAUUGGAAAAUUAGAAUUUUCUCCUUUUUUACAUAGAGAAAAAGGAGAGCGUAUGAAGGACAGAAAUGAGAGAGUGGGAAGAGUUAAAUGUGAGGAAGGGUAUUUAUGGAGUUGGCACAUGUUGGCUACUUAUUAUUGGGCUAAAAUAAAUCCAACAUCCUGCCUCGUAACAAUGGACUCAGGACACUAAUAAGUUGAGUUCGGUGAGCCUAAUAAGUUGAGUGGAGGUGCGGUCCACAAGAGACCUAACGGCAAAAGGCCCAACAAUAGACCCAAUGUCCAGGUGGGUUGAGUUACGUACGUUGAGAACCCGCGAGUGCUAUGGCUGAGCCCUUAAGUGCGAUGGGUGCGCCUUUCCUAUCAGCACGUGCUUUUCAGGAUAGUUGGUUAGCCCUUACGAUCCACAAGUGAUAUCAGAGCCAGUGGUGUGGGUUCGACUCCUACAUGUUGCGUUAAUGGUGUAGGUGUAACGUACCAUACCCCCGUAAAUUGUGCCGAGUUCUGUCAUAAUGCGCGGAACGCGAAGUGGAACAAGUUGGUAUGGGCUAAAAGUGCAUUGGAGCCCAUAGGAAGAGGUUAGGGACCCGAGAGAGCAAGAUUGCAAAAUCUGGCUAAGUCCCAGAUUUUGGGCUCUCGGGGACCGGUCCCUGAUGGAGAGACCGGUCCCCGUACGCGUAGCUUGCCCUUAAUCCUGAGGCAACCGGUCCCUGGGUGUGAGACCGGUCCUCGGGAGACCGGUCCCUUGCUGCGCAGCCAGCCAAAAACGCAGAAAAUCGGCUAAGUCCUGGAAAUCCGACCUUCGGGGACCGGUCCCUGGUCGGGGAGACCGGUCCCUGACUGCGAAAAAUGCCCAGUCUGGGCAGUGCACUGAAAUAUAGUGGAGGGGCCUUGUUGUAAUUGUUACAAUAUGAUAUAACCCUACACCCCUUCACUCCCACAGCCAUUUUCACCUCCCCAACUCACUCCCCUUCUUUCUCUCUCUAGAACCCAAGCUCCAAGGCAAGGAGAAGGUGGAGAAAAGCUUGGAGUAGGAUUUUUGGUGAAUUUGGUAGGUCUAGAAGCUCUCCAACAAGAAGAAGCUUGCUAGAACUUGGACUAGAGGUAAGUUCUUGUAAGUUUUCCUCUAGGGUUUGGGUUUUGGCCUAAGGAUUUGGAGCUUUGUGCUCCUUAGAGGUCUUAGAAGCUCUUUUGAGCCAUGAACAACAAGACACCCAUGAGAGCUCAAGGUGCUCUAAACACACGAGAGAGAUGCCGCGGAUAGAACUAGAAUUUUUGAAAUCCUACCGUCAGUCUCUUUUCUCCUCUCUCUCCAUCUUCAGCAAAUACGACGUCUUUGCAAGCCGAGGCUAGCACCCGUACUGACAUAUCAAAUCAAAACUCUUGUUGGAUACAUAAGGGGUCGUAGCGCCGUGUGCGGCUACAAGAAAAUAGAAUUCUACUGAUCAUCAAUAUGAAGUGAAGUAUCUAUCCAAGAAAAAGUCAAGAUUCGAUUCUUAUUUUCUCCUUAAAUCAUUAAAGAAGAACAUAGGGUCCUAAUUGCGUGAUUUUUUAGCUUGGAUAUCGAAGUUUUCAAAAUCAGAAUUUGUUUGAUUUCUUUUUCCGGCUCACGUUUUUACCGUACGCAAAUUUUCUAACAGUGUUCAGUAGCUCCUCAUGUUUUAAGAUUUAAAAUAUGAAUUUAGGUAUUCUAAACUAUUUUGUCGCCGGUAGAUACUGAUUUAUAGAUCGUUUUUGAUUAAUGAAAAGUUCGAAUUGAUUAAACAACUUAAUCGAUCUUUCUUGUUUUCAAGCAAACUAGCAACAAAAAAAAAAAAAAUUGUAGCAUACGUACCCGAUGCGACUUGUAAGCAUCCUACGGAAUACGACUUUUUUUAAAAAUAAAAUUAGUUUUCUUUUAACAUCUCUUCUCCUCUAGAUUAAUUUUAAAAGAAAAAAAUAUUACAUAUGAAUCUAACUUUUAUUAGAUCAAAUUUACAUUUGAUGAGAUCAAGUUGUUUUUGAAGAUUAAUUUUCUGAUCAAAAAUUAAUAGAAACAUCAACUAAAUGAUAAUUUUUUGUCGAUUAGGUCACUAAUUUUCGAAUCAUCGGAUUAAACGUUAAUCAGUAAUAUCCAGCAAAAUUUUAUUAUUUUGAUGUAUAGAUACUAUUGGGUGACGACAUUGUACGCCAAUUAUUUUGUUUCACAUGGGUAGGAUGUUGCCGAAUCCUGUAAUUUUAAAUUUUUAAAUUAAGGAUUUUGAUAGAGAUGCUAUAUUUGUGCCAUGCGUGCACAAGCCGAAUUACUUUUAGAAACUCUGUCUCAAUAGAUUAUAGAAUAAAAGACAUCAUUAUACAUUAAUUUUAUUUUAUUUAUUGUUGAGUGUAUAAGUAUGGUUGCCCUAUUGGUUGAUCGUUGCAAGUCAAGAAGUAGCAAAGACUUUAAUCGAGAUAACACAUGGCGGUCGAUAAGGUGUUGAUACGGAUCGGAUCAAGUUGAAACUCAAUCGCAUCAAAAUUAAAGACGACAAGAUACCAAUGAUUGUGUGUGCUUAGUAAUUAUACCUAGACCGAUGACUGCAUGGCUCGAUUCCGAAUCCACUUCUUAGAUCAGAUCAUUCACCAAUUUCAUAUUAUAUUUUCUCGCGCGGAUAUUUUUAUUUGCCUAGAUUAAAAUAAAGAAAUAUCAGAAAUUUUUAGAACCUAAAUUAAUCCGCUCACAAGUAUUAAGUCGAGCACCUCUUUCACCGUUGUAGAAGUGCGGCGUUUUUUCUGUUGUCGAAUGGCAAGGCUGGUACAGUUGGUCAGCUUUCAUCGGGAAAAGCGCAACAUACUCUCUAUUAGCUAUAGAUGCUCUGCGGAGUAAAGAUGGUUGAUUCCCAAAACUUCAGGUGAGAACCCAAGGGUUCGCUACAGUUACUACCUGUUGGAACGUGGGUCUGCUUAUACUAGAAAUGGCCAAUAACUGUCACGUAAGCCUACAAACUUAAAAACCGGAUCACGCAAUUUGUUGAGGAAGCAUUGACAAUAAUGCCACUCAUGCGUUUGCAAUAUACCAAAACUGUUAGGCUUAGUGUACGUUUAAACUGUUGGACCCGAGUACCCACUGUAACCUUUUGUUGUGUGGUUUCUGAUUUCUCAUAUCCCGAGGAGUGUAAAGAAGAUUCUAGAAAUAGUGAGGCUAUAAUUUAUUUUAAAAUUCCCUAAAAUUACAAAAUUUUAAAAUCAAAUAUCACAUAUCUAACUUGAAUCUUUACUCUCUGCGCAAGCUUAAUGGACUGCUCUCCAAUAUCUCUCUCGUAUUCUCUGACACAAAAAUCCUUAACUGAAACUAAUUAUCCCGCCGGUGGCCAAACUGCAAAGGAAUUUAAAAAUAGUUUUAAAUUCCAAGAAGCUUCUGCAUUGUUCUCUCGACUAGAAAACCUCUCAUGUACUAAGCCGGCCAAUAAUAACCGAAGAGUCAGUCUGUUCAGUUUUGUUUACAAUGAUGCAAAAGACCUUGAGGACUGAAAUUCGCAUGAAACUGGACAAGGAUUGCUAUAGUUAAUCUGAUACUAGCAAUCCUUUUCCUGUAUCAGUAUGGAAAAGUUUAUUGUAACUACAUAAAAUAAAAUGAUGCAACCAACGGUUAGCUUUUAUGAAGAUAUGUUAUAACAAUAAAGGGGACUUUGAAAAGUUAAAGGCCCUCGUUCUCAGCUUGUGAGGCGAGCUAUCCUCUCCAAAUAGAAGUCUAAUUGUAAGAAGAAAUCAUGUGUACCUCGGCAGAAGGAAACAAAACCGAAGACAAUGCCAAGAGAGAUAACCCUAAUAAAAAAGCCGCUAACAAAGAAAACUGUUUUCCACUGGCAAUGUUGACGGCCAUAUGAAAGCAACGUCCUGUCUACCUGGAAAGGCCUAAAAGCAAUAAGAGGAGAGGGAACACCUCGAAGUGAUGUAGACUUGCUCAGUAAUAGAAACUAUAAUCUUAAUCGUUCAUUCUAUUCUCGUUUGAUUAAUACGUACUAAUUUAGUGCUUAUUUGUACUAUCAAUUAUAGUUAAAAAAAGAGAGGGCUUUAGGGAAGGUGUAACCCUAAAUUGGUAUGUCAACUGGAGCAAGAGUGCAACAUGUGCUUGCUAACACCCUAUACUUAUGCGAACUAACCGUCAUGAUUAUGUUUUAUUAAAAAUAUGUCACGUACCUUGUUCUGGAGAUGUAAGAAAUUUGAUUUCUAUUCUUUUCACAUUAGAUGUUUAAUUUUGACAAAAUACAUAACGUAUAGAGUUAUUUUAAAUAAUAAUUAUUAGCUGUGUUCUAUGAUUUUGACAGUCGUUAAUCCAUUUACAAUAUGAUUUAUGCAAAUAUUUCUGAGCAAUAGUGGACUGCUGUUGGAUCUAGAAUAGAUCUAGAGAUGAGAUAAACCUAACAGUAUAUUUUGCAGGCUCAGUCUGUCAUAUUCAUAAAGCAAGAAUCAAUAAAUUGGAUAAAGAUGGGGCUUUUACGGCUCAUUGACUUAAGCUUAUCCAGUUUGUGAAUACUUGUUAAAAAAAAAAUUGAUCUAAAACUUUGUAGGACCAACAGAAAGGGCACUGAGAUACUUUUUCCUGUAUAAGGUCACUGAUGUUGUGGCCAUUUGUGUGCAUCUAGGGUGUUAUCUCUACUCGUCAAACCUUUUACGGGAGUAUUAUCCACGGUAGGAAUGUGUAUCUAUGAAACACAAAUCAGCCUUUGAAAGUCAAAUAAUUCCAGAUAUGAAGUAAAAAAAACUGAAAAAUCAUCUCAGUAUUCUCGAUCAGAUCGAGGAGGAGAAUACCUAGUGGAGAGUUCCUAGAAAUUAUCUAAAAAAAAAAAAACACAUAGUCAUCAACAGUGACUCCUUCCGGAACACCAUUAACUCAAACGGGUGUCAGAACGAAAACCGAACCUUAUUGGAUAUAUCUAGUUCCAUAUACUUCACGAAUAUAUUCCUUUAUUUACUUUGGCGGACAUUCUUUUGCUUCCCUGCCAGCUUACUUGUUAAAUAGAGUCCCUCUAAAUCAUGUUCAGCUACCAUGGCGUAUGAGAUUGCAUGGUAAGAAAGCUCAAGUCUUGUCAUAUAAAAUUUGGUGUCCACCCAUGUUAAGCGACUAGCACGGCGACAAUAUAGGUAGUUCAGAGGGCUCGUUUUAUUGAUAUCCUAAAGAAACUUAGGUUACUUCUUUUAUAAUCACAGAGAAUCACAAUGUAGUGGAUCUCGAUAUGCAUUUUCUUCGAAAAAAAACAUUUUCUUCAAAAGGACUAGAGAAGAAAAAGUUGACUCGAAGAGAGAGUCUCUGACAGAGGCACGAGUCAUCAAACCUACAGAGGACCUAUUCAAGCUUAGCCAAAUACAUGUAGUUACCAACCCUCACCGCUUCUGUAGUCGAGAGAAUUCCUUACUCCUACUAAAACAGAACUAGUAACUGAGUUAUAGAGAUGUAGAGGCAAAUGUUCCUCAUGGGAAUAGGGAACAUGGAUAGAUUCCAAAACUACAACAAGGCGAUUCUGACAUCGAUCCGAGAAUGCUGAUGCAUGAAUCAGAAAUUGCUCAAUGAAUUCAACCACGGUUUGGAUUUGGAGAGCCAACAAAGUAUAUACCUAUGCGGUAAAUGAUCUAACAAAAGAAAGAUAGUCGAUGGAAAGGUGGAGACUUAUAAAGUAAAGGCUGGGUUUGCGAAAGGUUUAUAUCAACAGGGCAACAUUACUAAUCAGAGAACUUUUUCACACGUGACCAUGCAUUAAUCAAUUCGAACACUGCUUGCCCUUACAGCAUACUAUGAUAUGAGAUUCUGGCAAAUUGGAUAUGGAAAAUGCCUCCUAAAUGGAUAUUUGAGAAGAUAUCUAUAUGUAUGCACUUUAGGUUCAAUUUCCCGUGACGAAAGUGAAAUUAAUGCAAGUUCAACGUCUAGUUUAUGACUUAACAAGCAUCUCGACCUUGGGAUUACUCGUUUCAACGACUGAACUUCAAUCGUUUGAUUUCGUUAAGAAAGGAGGAACCAUGGUUUAUAAGAAGUCAAUGGGACUGUCACAUUUCAUCGUAAUUGUAUGUGGAAUACAUUCUCCUAAUGGGAAUGAACAUCCAAUGCUAACUCAUUAAAAUAUGGGUUUUCUAAAAAUUCUCUAUAAAAGACUAGAGAAAGCAUCCUAUAUUUGGGAUAAAAGGUCUGAGAGAUAACUUCUAAAGAUGCUAGCCUCUCACAUAAAAUUUACAUAGAAGGGUGUCUGAAGAUUUCAGCAUGAAAACCCAAAAGGAGACUUUUACCUCUAGAAACAUGGAAUUUAUCUCUCUAAGAAUAAUGCCCAAACAUUUGAAGAGAUUCAACGUAUGAGUAAAACCUUUAUGCAUGCAGUAUAGGGGACUAUGUACCGCCGCUAUGUACAACGACUGAUAUCGCGCCUUGCUGUAUGUCACAUGUAGAUAUCCAAUCUAACCAGGUGAGGAGCACUGUAUGCGUGAAAGAACAUAACUCAAGUACUGAGAAGGACUAAUGAUAUGUUCUGCCUUAGCAGGAGGAGAUUGAAAUAAAUGGAUAUACUGAUUCAGACUUUAUUUUAAUGUUACUGAUAGAAAGUCAGCGUCAGAAUAGGUUCUUACCUGCCAUGGGCUCUGUGUAUUGGAAGAGUUCCAAACAAAAUUAUUGCUAGACUCUACUCAUGAAACAUAGUAAUAUCGCCGCAACUGCGAAGCUGCAAAAAGCCUCUGUUCAAGAAAUUUGUUCGAAACUAGGUGAUGAUCCUCCUCGUAUGUCAUACCAUAUAGCGACAAAGGACAUAGCCCAUACUAAGAGCCCAGGUUCAUCAGAAGUCAAGCAUAGCCGAGCGGCGUUUAAUAUUAUACGCGAUACCUCGACAAGAAAUACAUUCGAUAUGCAGAAAGUAGACUCUAUUGAUAACGCAACCAUUGACUAACGGCCACUUAGCCAGCAGAAGACUGAAGUCCACCUUGAGAAAUGGAGUUUAGGUAUAUUGUGUAGAUUUAGUGUCAUAGUGGAGAUUGUUAAUGUAUCCCUAAAAAGCCACAGGCCGACUAUAUAUAUUUUCUAGACAUAAAAUUUGUAACUGAUUUUAAAAUACUUAUAAAUAUAUUUGGUUUAUUUUCAUUAUAGGUGUCAUUGUCCAUGAAUCCGUCCAAGAAUUAAUAAGAUAAUGAAAUACUAUUCCUCAAGAUUGAGAAUUGAGACAUUUCAUUGGUUAAUUCUAAAUGCUCCUGAUCAAUGAUAUCACGGAGACUUAUUUGAUCCGUAAUUGAUGCAUAGGUCCUUUCACUUUUGGUUACACUAGUCCUCGAUCGACAUGAGGGACACUGAGCGAAUAUGCAGGUUUGUUGAAGAACAAGGGACCGAGCGUGACCACGCGAGAAUACUUGGAUUCUAACCACAUCGCCAGACUUACUCAAUAUUGUAGUAGUGUGAAUCUUUGACUCAGUGCUCUGACUAUUCACAAUGAUGUUAUUGCAUUUUUGACGUCAUAACCACCUUGGUCCUAGCAUUCAGUCCUUGCGGGCAUGUUGGCUGCAGGAAGUAUCAUUGUAGAUAGGGUGCUCACUAGAAUAGAAUCUAUCUCCCCUAGUAUAGGGUGUAGCCUAUGUGAUUUAUGAGACCGAGUUAAAACCUUGGCCAGGCAGAGUUAAUAGCGGAAAAGGUUUUCAAUUAAGAAACUUAUCGAAUAAAUUAAACAUAUGAACAGACCGAUAGGGGUUUGACGAUUUAUUCAUAACCUCCGUCAUCGGACUCAUUAUAUAAGAUAAAUCACAGCGUAACUGCACGCCAGAGGUUCAGUAUCCAUUCUACUGGAAUCGCACUAUAAAUGCUAGGCGUCACUGGUGGAUUGUGAGACUCAUUGAGAAUAUUCUAAAUAUCGAUAAUUCUUAUUGGGUCUGAGUUUGAAUUAUUCACGAUCACACUGAAAAGAGUUUCAGUGAAUUGUUGAUAUCGACCCAAAUAUAUCUCACUACCAGAUAAAUAGAACCUCUAUGGGGUCACACACAAAGAGAUUAUGAUUGAUGUAUAGCUAAUCGCGAUUUAUUGAAUCGCGCCGAAGGUACCUGAUUGUCAACAUAUGUUGAUAAUUUGACCAUUUGUAAUUAUUAUCAAGAUUAGCUGGAUUAAAGUGUAAAUACAAGAGAGACAUUACUCAUAAUUAGUAAAUAUAAGAGGACUUAUGGCAAAUAUCUGCAUAUAUUUGAUAAGAUAAAUUAAUUAUAAAGUUCAAGUCGAAUCAAAUGGAUUGACUGAUCUAACUAAAAGAAAAGAAUAAAUUUUAAAUCUAUAUUGUACUACUUAAUGUUUAUAUUAUUAAAAAGAGGAUUAAUUCUCCUAUAAUAACAUACGAUUUAGUAAAAUCCUAGCCGCAUCUCUCUUUUCUCUCUCAUCCAUCUUCUAGCAAAUAGACGUUCUUAUGCAAGGAGCUAGCACCCCGUUAGACAUCCGAUCAAACAGAACCUGUAUGAAUAACCUAUAAGGCCGUAACACAGUUGCGGCUUCAGAGAACGAAUCACGUCAUCAACUGAGGAGAUCUAUCCGCCGAAAAAGGUAAAAUUCGAUCUUGCUUUUCUCCCUUUAAUUCUAAAGAACAUGAGGGAUCCAAUACGUUGGUUUGAAGAUUGGAAUUCUCUAGAAGUUUCAAAAUUCAAUUUGUUUGAUUAUUUUUCCGCUUGUUUUACCGUACGCAAAUCUUCUAACCAGACACCAUCUCCAAGAGGUUAAGAUGAGGUGGGGGAUUAUCAUAAGAAUGUAUUUGAGCUUUCCCUUUUCUAAACAUCACUGUUUUAUAUCAUUACGUCUCUUGAGAAUUAGAUAGUACACAUAUUUAAUUCGUGAAUGGAUUUUGGUGGUCAUGUGCUUAUACAGCAUAUACCUAGAAAUAGGGUUUAACUCUUUAUUAUGUCAUAAAAUAAACGUAAAUAAUAAAUAAGUCUUAUGUGACUUUGGAACUAAGAUGAAUAAUAUCAACAUGAAACCCAGGAGAGAAUAUAGAUAAGAAAUAAGUGAUAUAGACAACUAUUCGUAGUUUAACUAGAGAAACAAGUCAAUUGUGAAUGAACUUAGAAAAACAACACUACAGGACAUUGUGAUAGGUGCGACUAAAUAACGAAAGUCUCAACCUUUUGAACUAUACAAUUAAAAGCCGAUUACCCUCCGAUCCCUAGUAUACAUAAUAGAAAGCCUCAAUUCUAUAUCCUUAACUCCCUAUGCGUACUUGGAGAUAUCAAUUGCCUUCACUCAAGCUUACCGAUUGGAAGAAGAUCUAAUUCUGCCCGGACUCUAUGAGUAUUAAAAUGAAAAUGAAAAAACUCACUAGUUAAUUAAAUAUAUGAAAUGAUUUGGACAAUCAAUAGGCCAUAAUAUAUUAUACAUGAUGACAUCUGUGUAACCGCUAGGUAGUCCUUAUGUUAAAAAUAUUAUCUUUGGCAAAUUAUUACAAUGGUCAUUAUUGUUCAUAUCUAUACUGCAUGAAAGUUUAUCUUGAUAAAUCACAUCUUCAUCAUCAUGCAUCUUACCAUUAAAUUGCUCUUAUAUAAAAUCUGAUAUUACUAUGUAUGUCCAUUAGAAAAAUUUUGGAUUUUAGUUUUAUGAUUCUAUAAACUUUUUAUAACUAUAAAAAUAUAUAAGCGACAUCCUAAUAAAUGUCAAAAUGAUCUUAGAAAUCUUGACAUUAUGCUUCACUAUUAAGCUUUGACGACAUAGCUCAUUGCUGAUAUGACCCUUAUACAUUAGUUGAAAUCUUAUGUUAUAUGUCUAUUGUGAUACUAUUUCAUUUAUUUACAUCCAAGACAUUUAAGUUUGUAUUUUGUUUUGUCCUUCGGAUGGACUAGAGUGUUGAGGUUUACAAUGUAGUGUGGGAUGUCGUAGCUCUUGACUAUGUGAUCGUGUCCAAGUUUAUCUAAACGAUUGGAUGUAAUGCACUGAACUUUUACAAUAGCAGAGUUCUAAGUAAUGAAUAUAAAAAACAUAUUUGAAAAUUUAAUAGUAUUUGAAAACGUUUGACAGAAUUUUUGGCAGGCAAAAUGAUGCUAAAUGACUUAGAAAGCAAAAAAUCUGCAUUACUGACGAGCUAUCAGUUAGAUACAAUACUAUGAAGCUACAAGAUGGCUGGAAGAACUUCAGGUUUUAUGAAACUCCCCCUUGACGUAUACUAGGAAGGGCGGUAUCGAUACACCAAUAAAAGACAGCAAUUCCAACUUCGGUUGCCUAUCAACCUCGAAGUAACUAAUACACUAUAAAGAGUUA